rnacentral:lncRNA from 1 species
UUUUAAUAAAUUUGAUAUGAUCCUUCCUUAUUUAUGAAUAGAUUAAUCUUACUAAUUUAUUAUUAUUUGUUUAUAUUUUGUAACAUAAUAAUAAUUUAAUAUUAUUUUGGAGCUUCUUUAUUUAAGGUAAAAGAAAUAUUGUCUUCCUAACUUUAUUAUUACUUACUUAUUUUUGGUAAUGAGCAUUUUAAAUAUUUUCUGAUUUUUGGCUCUCUUUGAAAAUAAGGAAAUAGUAUUAUAAUUAACUCCUUGAUUUAUUUUAUUUCCAUUAUUGUGCUCCCCCUUAUUUGCUAUAUAAAUAGGACUCCCUCCCCUCCUUUCAGACACACAUUGACAUCUUUGAAAAGAACUCACAUUCUCUAAACUCAUUCUUACUUUCUUACUACAAAUGCUACAUUAUUCUUAAACUUUCUUAUUCUCUCAUUGCUCAUACAUACAUGAACUCAUCAACAUACACUCAUUCACUCUCAAUCACAAAAACUCUCUCAUCAUUCUCCCUUCUCUCAUUCGCUCUCUUGCUACCUUAACAAUACAUCGAGAAUUCGGUUUCAUACUUGAAGUUCAAGUUGAAGAUUAACUGAAGAAGGAUUUAUUUGUUUAUUUGAAUGUGUAUAUAUAUCUAUAUGUUUUUUUUUUGUUUUUUUUUUCUAUUUUAUUUAUUCAAAUGUUGUAACAAUUGUAACUCUAAAGAUCAUAUAAUAAAUUUAUUUGGGGGGUCGUCUAGGGGAGGGGGAUUUAUAUGCCUAGUUGUUCAUUAUAAAUUUUUAGAAAUCAUGCCUAUAGUUUUGUCUUUAACCACCUAGAACUAUUGUUUGUAGGUGUUAUAAUCCAAUCAAUUGUUUGAUGCUUUGUUAAUAAGUCUAAAAAAUAAUAAACUAGAUUCCGUUAAUUUUAAAAUAAAAUCAUAAUAGGCUGAUUAGGUGUUUUAACAAUGUUAUAAUUUUAGCAUCAUCUUGUCAUGUAGAAACCAUGUCUAAGGUUUAAUUUGUUCAUAACAUUUAAAUUUACAAAAUUAUGCAUAUACGUGUUACUUUUUUUGAACACCUAGAAAUCAUGUCUAUAGGCUUGUAAAUAAACUCUUAACAUAUCCAUAAAAAAUAGAACUUGUUUGUGCAUAUUUGUGCCCUCCCCCUAAAAUUAGUUAAUAUUAUUUCAUGAGUAAUCCCAUUCGUUUUCUUGAAGAUUUCCGCAUUCCUUGCAAUAUGUUAUUUUCUUAAAAUCAUUUCAUGCAUUUAACUUGGCUUUAAAAAUAUUUCAUAUCAAAACCUUGUAGCAUAAUUUUCUUAAAAAGUCAUUAUUCAAUCUUCCUUUUAAACUUUGGAUUGAUUUUGACAUUGUUUAUUUUGAAAGUAAAUUAUAAGUACUAUCUCCUAACCUAUCGUUAGUGGGAAAGUCAAAGGAAGUAUGAGGUCUAGUUCCAAUUUUUUAAACCCGACGCAUCCUCGGAAGUAUCACCUACCCAUGAAUUUCAAAAGGAAUUAUGUGCAUUUAUAUGUAAAUGUUUAUGUGCCUACAUGUAAACUAGAUCUUUUAAAUCAUUUUUUUCAAAAAUAUAAACUAUUUUUAGACCGACCUCAAAUCAAAAUUGUUUCUAUGGUGGAGGAGCGCGAUCAACAAUAUCGUGGCAUCAUCCCUACAAAGAAACAAACAUUUUUUUAAAAAUAAAAAAAUUUCAUAUUCAAAACUUGCUCCAUUUUCAAAACUUUACUUUCUCACAUAUUAAUUGUUUAAUAUUACAAAUUUUGUCUAUAACAUAGCCUCGUAUGUUAAAUAAAUAAAAAAUAAACUUGAUUGUUUAUUAUUGCUGUCAUCUAGCCUCGCAUGUUUAAAUUAAUAAAAUAGCCUUAAUUGUUUUAUACUUGUUAUCACUUAGCAAAGCACAUUAAUGAAUAAUAAUGAAGUGACCUUGAUUGCUACUUGUAACCCCCACAUAGAUUGCAUGAGAUACGGCCGGGACCCACACUUGUGGACCUCGAGGCAUGCCUAACACCUUCCCCUCGAGGUAAUUUGAACCCUUACCCUAAUCUCUGGCUCGUUGACCUUAGUUAGACUUAAUUAGGUUAGAUAGGUGCCCUAACGCGCCUAAAUUCGUUAGGUGGCGACUCCAAACUCGAAAUCCGAAAAGAGUUGUUAGGUGGCGCACAAAACCCAUUUUUUGCGAAAAUGGGGCGUGACACUGUGACAACAAAGUUGCAAUACAAAUAGCUUCAAAUCCCAUCGUACAAAGCAUAUUGAGAUUGAUUGCCAUUUUGUGAGGGAAAGGUUUCACGCAGGGUUGAUUAAACCUGCACAUUUGUCAACUACUCUGCAAUUGGCUGACUUGCUUACCAAAGGUCUUGUUGUAGCAUAACAUCACUUCCUUUUGUCCAAGCUUGGGGUUCUAGAUGUUUUCCACCCUGCAGCUUAAGGGGGGGGGUGUUGAAAUAAGAUGUUCCUUAUUACUGUUAUUUUUUGUAAGUGUCAUUUGUGAUGUAGCUAACAGAAUUAGUUAAAAUUUGUUAUGAGGUCAGUUUAAAUGGAACUUUCUAGAAGUAGGUUAGUUGGACCUAUAAAAGUACUAGCCAUCAAUUGUAAUUAAAAAAAAAAGAUAAUUCAAUUUAGAUUCAAUGAAAUAGUGAUUCUUUUUUUUUCUUCCAAUAUCUCUGUAGCGGCUUAGAAAAUUCAUCAAUGGUGAACUUAUUCACCACUACAAAUUAACAAUAGUCAUUCGUUGAGGAUAUUGUGUUAAUUAGCUAAAUUAGUGAAGGUGUCAACUAUAAAAGUUUAAACUGUGAAGUUUUACCAUUGAGAGUAAAGAUUUUUUUUUUCUUUUUAAGAAUAAGUAGAAGUUACACCAAAAUAGCAUUGCUAGUUUAGUCUGUAUAAGAAGUGAAAUUAGUUGGAGCCCAGUUUAUCAGCCCAAUACCACCCAUUAGUCCAGGCCCAUAAACAAUAAGGACGGCCCAUUUAGAUUUUAAGAUUGGUAUUAUUGCGGGAACUUAGGGGCGGGGGGUGGGGGUGGGGGGUAAAUAUUUCAUUUUUAGGGAAUUUUAGUAGCUCAAUUGCUCGGACCUUUGUAGGGAAUUUUUAGUAGCUCAAUUGCUCGGACCUUUGAUUACAUGAACCUUCACUUUGUUAACGUGGAUUCAUUUUUCCACCUUGUUAUAUCCUUCCUCAUUUAUUCACUAAAAUUAAUAUUAAUGAAGGAUAAAUUAUGAGUAGAGAAAAUGUUUCCAAAAGUCCUAUUAACUUAUUUAAGCAAAUCAUAUCAAACAUGAGGCACAAUUUUUAAAGUUGUUACUAAUACUAAAACCAUUCUUUUAGUAUAUACAACUUUUUUUAUGGGAUAAAGGUAUUCCCAAUUACACAUGGAAUAAUUCCAAGAAACGUUGCUGGAAUUCAAAGAAUUGAUAACUGGAACUCAACGAACGAUUCAUGAGGUUUAAAAUAUUGUAGAAGUUUCAAAUCAUGAAUCGUUCCUUAAUUAUUAUUUUUUUCAAGUUCAAAAUAAAGGAAUAAUUUUGUCCUUAUUACUUUUAAACGAUGUCUAAAAACUCGUAACAGAAUCGAAAACGUGUUUUCUUCCUUUCCUUUUUUGAUGUAUAUGGCUUCAUCAUCCUAUCUAGAAGAUAUAUAUUUAAGGACAAGAAAACAACAACAUUUCAUUUGAAAACACGACACCAUUCUAUAUUUCAAGUUUGAUAAUAGGAUAUGUGAUUAAUAAGGCCUAUGACCUAUGAAGUAUGAACGCCCGCACAUAAGGUCAAGUCAAGUGGUCAAGUUUACAUCACAAAAUAGUAAAUGGGGUCUAUGUUUAUACAAUAUAUAUAAUAAUUAAAAAAAUAAAAGGGAAUAUAGUAAUGAGAAAACGAAAAAAAAUAAAAAUUCAAACUUUGAUUUUUCUUGGAAAUUUUAACGGUCCAAAUUUGGAAUAACUCGGUUUAUAAUAUGAAAUGAUCUUUUAAUGGUCACUAUCUAAUUGAAUAGAGAUCCCCUAAAUGUAAAACUGAAAAUCUUUUAUAAAAAGAUAUAAAAUUAAAAAUAAAUGACAAAAUCAAAUCUCUUCUUUAUAAUAUCUUCGGUAUCAAUCUUGAAUCUUUAAUUCGACAAGUUGAUUUAAGCUUUAUUUAAUAAAUCGUUUUGCCACCCUUAAUUAGCACUUACUACUAAGGUAUUUGUAUAGCCGUCUAUGAUAAGUAUAAUUCUUUUUAUAUUUCCUCCGUUAAAAAAAAAUGUCUCUAUUUUCUUUUUAGUUUGUUUUAAAAAAAAAAUGAUCCCUUUCCUUUUUUGACAACACUUUGACUUUAACUUUUCAUGUGACAUGUUUAAGAUCACAAUAUUAAAUGAUAUUUUAGUACAUUUGACAUAACUUUAAUUUAAAAUCACAAAAUUAAAAAAUCUUCUUUCUUUUCUUAAACUUCGUUCCAAAUCAAAUUAAAUCAUCCUUUUAGAAACGGAGAAAUAAUAUGUACAUAUUUUAUAAGAAAGUUUAAAGUAGAGAGAAUAGAAAAUAGUUCAAUCAAAGAAGAUUUGGAGGACCACAAAUCCAAGUUAGGGACUUGUUGCCACAGCAUGGUCCCAUAAUGUGUAACAUGUGGCAAGAUUAUUGGAUUUAAUUAGUACCAUCAUUAAUUCUCUCCUCAAAUAUAAAAGUAUUAUGGAGGUUGACUGUCAUGACCUGUGAUUGUGAAUUUGUGGACUUGUGGUCAUGUGGAGUAAGAUUAUAUGCUUUCCGUUCAUUUUUAUUUAUUCAUAAAAUGAGUACUAUAUUUAUACUUAAUAUGUUUAAAAAAUAAAUUUGUAAUAUUAAUAGUAAAAUAUUAAAAAAAUAUUAUUUUUCUUUUGAUAUGUGAAAUGAAUAAAUAUUUAUUUUUUAAUAUAAUAGAUAAAUAAAAAUGAACGAAAGAAAAGAAUAAACACUGUGGUCCAACUUCCACUCUAUUUAUGUUGGGAUUAUUUAACUAAAACUUAUACCUAAUACCUAGAUUUUCGCUCUAAUCUAAUUAUGGCCCCUCCAAUUAUUCUUCAGUUACCAAUUAAAUUGAGUUGCUUGUUCCCUCCUAAAUCCCAUCAAAUUUCCACUCUUUUGUUUCAAGUGAGGAAUUUUAACUUAUUCUAAUUUGUUAAUGUCAUUUUCUAUCGAAUAAAUGAAAUGGUCACGCUAUAUACUACUCUUCGACAUAAAGAAAAUAUUUUUAAAUUUUUACAUGUUUAAAUUAGAAAAAUAUUUUUAAAAUACACUUAAGAAUUUCUUUCAAAAUUAAGAAAAUAAUUUUCUUAUAAAAAAGAUAAAACAAAUUUCACUCUAUAUCAAAAAUGUCAAACGUAACCCUCUAACUCACCUUAUCCUUGCACUUACGGCCUUACUCUCACCCCGUAGCUCUCAUCCCCACCAAGCCACCACUUGUACCUUCCCGCCCCAUUUUUUAGUUAUUUUAAUUAGAUAUAAAUAUUUUAAAAUAAUAUUUAUUUUGUAUGCUUACUAAUAAAAAUAUUUAUUUUUCUUAAAUGAUAUUAUUCGAAAAAUAUUUUCUCAGUGAACCAGCCUUAUAUCAUGAUUUCAUGGUACGUGGUACACAUAAAGCUAGUAUAAUACUUACUUAAAACACCCCUAUAUUAUUGUUUAGUUAAUGUUCUUCUCUCCCAAUUUGUCAAGUUAAAUAGUAUUAAUCCACCAUCUUCUAUCCAUAUUUACUCUAUGCUUUAAAGCCUGAAAUGAAUAAAAAUCAAUUAAUAAUGCGAAUAAAUCGUUGUAAAAAUGAUAUACUUGGCGACAAACAAUCGAAUGAAGUCAAUAAGAACGGUUGGCAGCUUAUUUGAAAAUGACCCAAUUUCUCUCUCGCACUAUCUAAUAUAUCUAUAAAAUAUUAAGUCUCCUUAUUAUAUAUUACUAUCAUACAGUACUAAAGAUUUUUCUAAAAGUUAUUAAUUUAAUUUGGAAUAUUAUUAACGCUAGUAAAGAAUGAUCAGAGUAGUAGGCAUACUUUAAUAACAGUCUUGUUCAUAAAUAAAUCAAUGUUUGAUAAUAAAAAUUUAUUUUUGGAAAAGAGAAAAAAAAAUGUAUACAUGAAUACGUUCAUCUCUUAAGAUGAAAUGAUCAGUAUGUUUUAUUGUUAACUAGAGAUUUUAAAUUUAGAUAUUGAAUAUGAAAUUACUUUUUAUAAGUAAUGGGCAAAUCAAGUGAAAAGUGGGGGAAUCUAUAUAUUUUUUUCCUUAGUCAAGCCUUGAUGAACUUCCUUUUCAUUGUUAGAAAUAAUGACCAAAGGUAAAUUAACGUAUUAGUACUAUUUUCAUGAAGACGACUAGCUCCAUGCCAAACCUUUGGACGAGAAACAAAUUUCUCUCCCUCCGCUUAUAACUCAUGUUUUCUUUCUGUCUCGGUUUAUAUAAUUUAUUUUUUUUCUUUUUUCGAUAUUAAAGGAAUGAGGACAGAUUUUUAUAUUAAGUAACAGUUUAAUUUUAAAAUAUUUAUUUUAUCCUUAAUGAAUGAUUUAUAGUCAUAUAAAUAUGUCUCACUUAUUUUAAAGCACAAAAAAAUCUUUCUUUCUUAAAUUUCGUGCUAAAUCCAACUAACUCAUGUAAAAUGAGACGGAUAAAGUAAACAUUUUUUCUUCUUCUUUUUGUAGAAAACUUCUUCCAAAUUACGUAAUUAUUCUUUGUCUUUAGAAAGAAAAUUAAUCAAAGAUAGAUAGGUAAGUUGGUGGUUACAUUUUAAUGAAAAAUUUGCGAAAACUAUAUAUUGGGUUCCCUUUUUCCCCGUUUUCGGGUAAAAAUGAAGCUUAAAAAGUUGGAAAAUUUUUCAAAAUGUCAAUAUUUUAGCAUUUAAGAGGACUCAUUUAAAAAGUUGGAAAAUUUUUCAAAAUGUCAAUAUUUUAGCAUUUAAGAGGACUCAUUAGCAACAACUUCAAUAUUUAGUAAAAAUGUCAUUUUAGUUUGUUAUGUAUGUUUUUAUUAUUUAUUUUUAUUUAAAGGAUAUAAUUAUUUAAUAACAAAAGGGAGAAAAUUAAGGGGUGAAUAUUUCAAAAAAAGGCAAGCAUCCUUAAUUUUCUCAUCAGUUAUAUUUUCAAAUAAAAUUUAAAUUUUGUUUUUUUUCUCCAGAAUUUUUACCUUUUUAAAAUUAUAUUCAUUCCACAAUAUAUUCUUAUAAUUAUUAUAAUUUUUUAUUAGUUUGUAUUCAUUCCAAUAGGUAUGCCGAAUUUAUCUAUAUAGUCAUUUAAGAAAUAUAUUUGUAUUUUUAUAUAUUUUUUCCUAUAUAGUUAUUUUUUUUUCAAAAAUCCUAUAUGUAUUCAUUUCAAUAUGUAUUUUAUUUGUAUUUCUAUUUAUUCUAGUUUUUAUUUAGAAUUUUGUAUAAUAAUAUAUAAAAUACAAAAAAUUAGUAUGAUGAAAAAGUGAAUGAAAUAUAAAAUUGAAAAGAAAUAAUUGAAUAUUUGGUGUACUCAUUCUUAAAUAAAAUACAUAACUAGUUGAAAUAUAUUUAGAAUAAAUACAAAUUAGAAAAAAAUAUCAAAUUCAGUUGACAUACCUUUAUUAGUUUGUAUUCAUUCCAAUAUGUAUGUCAAAUAAAAUGUAGCUAUUUAAGAAAUACAUUUAUAUUCGUAUAUAUUUUUCACUGUGUAUUUAUUUUUCUUUUCAAAAUCUUGUUUCCUUUUCUAAGUCGUAUUCAUUCUAAUAUGUCUAUUAUUUGUGUUUGUAUUCGAAUACAAAUAAACUAAUAGAAAGUUGUUCUUCUUAUAAAUAAAAUACAUAACUAGUUGACAUACAUUUGGAUGAAUACAAAUUAGGGACAAAUACAAGAUUCAUAAACCAUAGAAAUUUUUAAUAAAUACAAAUAUUGAUAGUAUACAUAGUGAUUUGAAUACAAAUUAAGAAAGCAUACCAAAUUCUAAAAAAGAACUAUAAAUACAAAACAAACUAAUAGAAAAUUGUUCGCGAUCUUCGUCGUCUUUUUCAAGAUCCUCACGAGUAGACAAAGAUUUUACAUUUGCGUUCUGAAUUUGAGGAAGGUUUUGCACACCAAUGAGUCUUGUAAAUGUUCUUACCCUCUUUCUUCCCUCAUUUUAGCAGCGGAUCAUACAUUAUACACUAUUUGUUAAGUAAUAAAUAAAUUAAAGGAUGAAAAAUCACCAGAAAUUGGUUGAUUAAGAUGAAUACCUCUAGUAAGCCUCUUGGAUUCAGCCAUUGGAGAGUAAAUCAUAACUGAAACUGAUGAUUCAAUUUUGGAUUAAAAAAACAACCAAAAUAUAAAAAAGAUAACCAUAAGAGAGAAAAAAAAUUAAAUGGGAGAGAGAAUUAACAAUUUGAAAAGAUAAAUAUGAGAGAGAAUAAUUUUUUUUAAAAAAAAGAAUAUAUAGAAUUAAUUGAAAAAGAGAGAUAAAAUAGGAAGAAAAAUGGGACACAUAAAUUUUUAAAAAUAAUGACAUUUUUGACAUUAUUGCUAAUAUUUCUAAAGUAUGGAUAUUUUUACUAAAUAUGUUAUUUAUUUUGACUAAUUUACUAAUUUUUCCUAAAAAGUUACCUACAUAAAAAGAGAACUAAUAAUAUUACUCGCUGGCUCUUCAUAUAUACUUACUGCCAAUUUCAAACAAAAACAUUUAAGAGAAACUUAAAUGAAGUCAAUAAUAUGGCACAUUAAUGGCAAAAAAUAUUUGUACAAAGAUUUUAUUCUUUUGGAAAGUAACUUCUUCUUUCUAUUUGUCUUUGUAUUCUUUCAUAUCCAACAAUAUUAAAAGAGUACAACAUGUUAACUAUAAAGAUUUAGCAUAAAAAUCCACCAGUGGCAUAAAUUCAACGACAGUUUCCAGUGACAUUCUUUUCACUUGGAAUCAUCUUCAUAUUAAAUUUUGUACUUUUCAAAUUGUUGAACAUGAAGAUAUACCUAACAAUAAUUCCCUUAAAUAAUAAACUCAAAUGUGAGAAAUUAAAUUGACCAUUUAUAAAAGCAAAUAUUUUGAGUCAGAUAUGAUAUAUACAUUUCUACCUCCUAUCCUUUCGAGAUCUCAUUUGUAGGAUUCAUGACUAGAUAUGUCAUUAUUGUUGUAUUCAAUAUUUACGUCAAACAAACGAAUGAAAUAUAUAUAAAAAAUAAUCACUUGUUAGUUAAGUGAUUGUCCGGUCACUUUUAGGUCGUGCUCUAUAAUUUAAUUAUUUGAUUUGAUAUAAAUAUCGAGCAUACUCAUCUAUUGAACUCAAACGAGGACAAAGAGAGAAAAAUCAAACAAGAUCACAAAAGCAAGUCGAACAAGAAAAGCAGUGACUUAGACUAACACUAAACAUAAGUUUUAACUUAUCUACAAUUGGAAAAGAAAAAAUACAAACGCUUAGGAAUCAUUCUUAAUUACAAGUUUCCCCAAAUUAAGCGUACGUGCACAUGUUCACUUCUUUGUUAAGCAAUCUAAAUUAGAAUUGCUCUUUUGAUUGAUAAAAAAAGUUAUAUUUACACAGUACAAUUAUCGUCCAAGAAAUGAAAAAAAAAAGUUUUGUUAGUAAUCAAUACUCUUUUUUUGUUAUAAAGAACACUAAUGGUAGGUUAACGUCUCUUACUUUAAACUAUUGUCCAAUCACAUUAAUCACAAUUAUUUGAUUAAUAUCACCAUUCGGAUGGUGCCAUGUGUCAAUAUUAAAUAUGGUGAUAAGAUGAGAUACAAUUUAUUACUCCAUCCGUUAAAACAAGAAUGAUCUAACUUCUUUUUUAGUUUGUUCCAAAAAGAAUGAUCUCAUAACUUUUAAUUUUAAUGUGACAUGUUUAAUACCAUAAUAUUAAUGAACAUUUUAAUACAUUUGACAUAACUUUAAUUUAGAACUAUAAAAUUCUUUUUUUUCUUAAACUCCAUUCCAAAUCAAACUAUGUUAUUCUUUUUUAAACAGAAGAAAUAUAUAAUAUAAACUUAAAAUCGAUAUAAAACUCAUAAACUUCAAAUUCAAAUUCAAUUAUUUGGAGUAAUAAAAAUAGUCAUAGAGAACAAGUUGGUUAGAAAUCUUUGUCUGAACAUUGUUAGGAGUGCAAUAUGAUGAAUACAUAGAGUUGGGUUGGAUUUGAUGCUUUUGGUCCCCCAAUUUUUCAAAUAUUGUUUAAUCACUUUCCUUAGUGGCUGAGUCUCGAGUCUUCUUCUUCUUCCUCCAUCAGUACAUUUUGACCCUACAAAGGCCAGACUCCCCUUUAACGUGCACCUUGGGUUUUCACUAUUGUGGAAUCUCUUGUCCUUUUGUGCAACUUAAUAGGCUAAAGGGUUGGUUGAGUGUGAACCAAUGACUUGUGUUUUUUCAUAAUUAUUUUAACUUACCUUUGUUCGAUAUAAUUUUUUGAUCUGAUUAAUUUAAAUUCAUAGACAUAAAAAAAAAUUAAAAAGACAAUUAUAUUGUUAAAGAAAAAGAAGUAAAAAAAUAUUUGAUUCGCUUGGUCCAAAAAUCCUCAUGAAUUAGUAUAAAUCAAAAUGAAGUAUUAUCGUGAUGAUUAGCAAAUUGGCAAAUUUUUAUUAGCUUAUGGACAUUUUUAAACCAAAAAUUAAAUAGAAAACAUACGAGGUCUGAAUAUUAAGUAUGAAUCAUAGUUCAAAUAUUUCUUAAUCUAUUUCGUGUUUCAAAUAUUCGAAUAAAUAUCUGACGAAGUAAAACUAUCUCUAUCAAGAUAACUGACCCUUUCUCAGUACUAUUAAUAUAUAGGAUCAAUUAUAACAAGUCAUACAAUAUAUUUAAUCUUUAAUAAAAUUUUUUAUAUAUAUAUUCAAAGCUCAAACACAAUAAUACGAAGGAUCCACCAACCCACCCUUGUCCUUUGGUGAUUAGAGAGUGGUAUGUUAAUUGUUACGUACCAAAGUUGUUGAUUUGACCGAUGUCUUACUCUUAUUAUUUUUUCCCUUUAAUGUUUGCUCCUAAUAUACUCUUAUUUUGUCGUUUAUUUAGGCCAUUUUGAUUUGUUAUAUCCUCAGUCAUUAACACAAUUAUCCAUUCUCAACUACUCUAAUGAAAUAAUUAUAUAUAUUCCAACUUUUAUGUGUCCAUACAUAUUCUAUAUUGAUUUUGAUACACAUAAUUUUUUAAUAUAUUUGUGUUACAAAGAAAAAUAUAGGUGUUAUAAUAUAUUCAAAAGUUUCCCCGACAUAUGUCUAUCAAAGUAGUUCCUAAUUUUCAUUUUAAACAUAUACUGUACGUAACAGCGACAAAUCCAUUACUUAUUACCAAUAAAAAAAAUUAUUUCAUUAAACAACUUGGAUUUAUUAAAGAUUGCAAAUGGUGGUCCAUUGUCAAGUGAAGAUUAAAUAUUGAGUAAUUUGAAUCAGGGUAAAAAAAAAAAUGGAUUUAAAAAUAAUUAGCUUUUGCUUUUUGAUGUGGAUGGGUAAAAAGUAGUAAAAACUAAAAAGCCAUGUAAACUAUAUUAAAAUGAGAAUAAGAUUCAAAUGUAUAGUGAGUGAAUAGAAGAAUCGUAAUGAUGGGAUGUUUGGAGAAUGAGAAAAUCCCUUGGGACACUACAAAAUCUGUUUGUUCCCCUUAACCAUUUGCUUAUUCCUUUUUAUUAAUCCUUAUUAGUAGUAGCUAGCUUAGCUGCCACCAUAUGUGGUUUUUUAGUAUGUUUUUAAAAAUAUUUUCGUUAAAUCGAAUUUUUUUAAAUUUCGUAACAAAUUAAAUUAUAUUGUUCUUUUUAAAUUGAAGAUGAAAAAGAACCAAACACAAUUAUACACCUAUAUCAUGAUUCAUGAACCAUAUUAAUAUUCAGUUUUAUACAUAUGCAAAUAUGGAGAAUGAAUUCCAAUCUAAUGUCUUAUGUUUUAUUCACACUGCUCCUUAUUACAAGCAAAAUUCCACUUUAUAUAAAAACAUAGAGAAACUUACCAAAUGAUAUUUACUGUUUAGCCAAAUCGAUUUAUUAAUAUGAUUGUAUUAUCCACAGUCUAUAAAUUACAUGAAACUAUAAUCAUCCCAAAGUAUAUAUGAGAUGGUCCGUAGACUACUUCACAACAAUUUGAGAUAAUAUAACGUAUUAUACUAAAUAUAUUUUUGGAAAUAUGGUAGAUAGAAUAUAUUAGUAGUACACAAUAAGAUGUGUGAUGUAAUAAGAAUAGAUAGAGAAACAAAGUGGGAAGUGGAGGAGUUUGCAUCAGAAUAUGCUUUCCAGUGAAGCAUUCCAACUAAGACUUUUGGUAAUCAAUUAAUUCACCUCUUCUUCCAUCUUAUUGGACAGACGGCUAACACGUUUCUCAUCCUUAACUUAAUUUUCACUGUUAAAUUAUUUUUUUUUUUCGAUUUAUACAGAUUUUAUUAUUAUCUCAAAGUCACAAGAAAGAGCAGGAAAAAAAUGUCUGAUUUGGAUUCUAGUUUUGAUCCUUGUAAGAUUUAGUUAAGCAUAUGAAACAUAUAUGUGUUAUUCAGACUACUUUUACUACGAUAUUAUAUAUUACCCUCGCAUGUAUCAAAUAAUUGUAAAAGUUCAACAAUAGACAUCAAAUAAUUGAACACAUUUAGCAUGUCAUAAGUUGUUAAUUUGUGGACAUUCAUAGUCUUAUUAGGUAACAAUAAGGUUAAAUAUGUUUAAUCAUAAAUUACAACAUCAAAAUUUUAUAAUAUUUGAUAGUGAACGGGUCGUUUGGUUUGAAUAUAAGUUAUGAUAUGAGAUAAGUUAUUUUGAGAUUAAUUAUGAUAGAAUAAGAUAUGUUGGGAUUAGUUAUGAUUAGUUAAAUUAUGCUCAAACUAUUUCUUAUUGAGUGUUAGUUUGUUGUAUUCAAAAUAAUAUGCAUUACAUAGAUUUUAAAAAUAAUUUAUUUCUUUAUGAAAAUACACUUUAUGAAUAUGAACAGUGAUUAAAAGGGGUUUAAAGGAAUAUCUUUGUUAUUUAUCUAUUUUAUUUCGGGAUAAGUUAUCCCGCGAUUACUAUACCAUCCAAGGCGAAGGAUAAUUUAUCCCAUUACUAAUUAUUAAUUCAAAAAUAAGUUAUUUCAAAGUUAUCAACCAAAUAACAGAUCAAGUAACACUAUAAUUUAAUCCUAAAAUUAUUUGAUGUUAUCUUUCACUGGAUUUAUGGUGCAACUGAUCAAUUCAAGACUUGAGGAUAAAAAUCUUUAAAAAACAACCUUCACUUUGUACGAAUUUGAAUUAGUCGAAUUAAUAGUAUUGGACUAUUGAAGGCCUAAAAAUAGAGAAAAGUAAAACUUAGGAAUAAAGGAUGGCCUGAAACUCAAAAUGAUGUACAAAUUGCAAUAGAGACUCCAGAGAAUGAGAUGUGGACAUCCACAUGCAGCCUCUUGUCACUUUCUUCUUGGAAUUUUUCACUAUCUUAGGAUAUGUAAAUAUAUAUCUACUAUAAGUUUAUGCAAACACUCCAAAGUUUCCUUCUUUUUUUUUCAUCAAUUCAUCAAUUUUCAUUAUAUGAUAUAUAUAAAACUUUCCCCCAUUAAUUUUUUCUUUAUAGGAUUUAUUAAAAUUAUCACAGUACAUUUAUUCCCCAGUUCCAUAAUUAUUGUACGUUCACGUUAUUUAUAAAAUCAAGAUCGAAUUAAUUUUUAAAAAUCAUUUUAUCUUUACAUACUUUUUUGUAGUGUAAAUAAGUUUGCAAGAUUUCAGAAAAGGUAUUUUAAGGGAUAAAUUAGUAUAACUGUUAUUUUUAUUUAUGAUUUCUUAAAAGAAAGGUAAAGUAGAAAAUAGACGAGUAAUAUAAAACAGAGCGAGUAAGAUAUAAUGGAGAAAAAAAUAUACAUAUCGCAUUCAAACCCACCAACAAAAAAUAGUGCAUUUGCGGGGACACUUCAGAAAUUGUUUUGUCCAUUCUUAGAAUCUAGAUUGAGUUUGCCAGACGCUACAUAUUGGCUACGUUAAGUUUGAUCAUAGUCUCCAUUUAUAGGUUGUGAAUUCUUACCACAAUUUAAUAUUAAUAUUACAAAAACAAUCGAGUUUAUAAUUAAAUAUUUAUGGAUGUUUUGUAGAGUUUUUCAGAAUCAUACGAGGUCUAAGAAAAGCUAUUGAACUUACUUGAAUCGAUGACCAAACUUCUAGAUUUUUCUUCGAUAUUAAUAACAUAAAAUUUUUAAAAAAUUAUUUUUUUCUCGUAAGAGAAAUUUAAGUUUGCAACCAAUUAAUUAGGUGAUCGGCAAGUACUUGGAAUGAUUUCUUUAUUCAGAUUUAGAUAAUUUUUCGCUCAUAAAUUAAUUUUUGGUGGUUAAAUUAGACUUAUUAAUAGUAUAAUUUACAUAAAUUAAAUUUUAUUGUAUUGAGAAUUAAUUAUAUGAUGGGUAACGGCUUAGAAUAUUAUUAUUUUUAAAAGUUUAAUUUUCAAAGUUACAUAAAAAAUGUUUUAUACAUUUAUGUCAUUUUGAAGAAUUUUUCGAUAAAACAUUGAAGGAAAAUAAAAGUACAUAGUGUACUGUAAUUGAUGCAUUGGACACACAGGCUCAAUAAUGAUAUUAUGCUGCCACAAUAUUGGAUGACAACCCACCAUGUAAUAUAAUAUAACAGACUAUACUAGCUAGAUCAUAAGAUGAGGUGACAUUUUCCAUAUAGAAUUGCACAAUAAUUAAUUAUCUACAUACUAAUUUAGCGUAUAUCUUAUAGUAUUAACAUUAUCACCCACACAUAAUUUAAUUAAUUAAAGCUAUAGUUAUACAAUAUUCGACACUAGUUUAAUAAUAAUAAUAAUAAUAAUAAUUUAAUUAAAGUAGUGGAGUGGGAUUUGCUGUAUCGUGUUUGUGCCUUGGAUAUUGAACUCUAGGGAUUCCCUCCUAUCUAAGUAUGACUCUCUCUGUUCAAUCAAAUUUAAAACAGAGAAUUUUUGUUUUAAGUUAUUAAAAUUAGUGAUGUUGAUGUUGGAUUAUUCAACUACUAGUUGUAGUACUAGAGAAUAUUUUCUUUCUUUCUUGAACCUCGAGAGAUUCAUCUACCAUAUGCUCCUUGCUUUAUCUCUCUGUCUUCUUCUUUCUUUCUAUCUCAAUUAACGUGAUAGUUAAAUCUAUUAAUUUAUUCAAAAUCGUUUGAUCAUGAAUUUUGAGAAACAAAAUCUUAAAUUUAAUAGUUGAAAUACAAUUUAUGUAAUUGUAAACCAAACAAAAUAUAUUAUAAAUUAUAAUAAUUGAAAAGAAAUAAUAUUGUGAUCAAUUCUUUGAAUUUCAUAACAAUUUUUCACUCAUUAUUCCAACAGAUAAAUAGUACUUCCUCAGUGUUUGAUUUACUUUCAUUUUUAGUUUGUUUAAAAAAAUGACACGUUGCUAUAUUAAAUAAUAAUUUUGCACUCUAUGUAUUUUACUCUUAGUGAAAUGUCUACAGACACAUAAGUUUCUAAAAUUUAUUUUGGACCACAUAUUUUAAAAGUCUUACUUUAUUUCUUAAACUCUAUAUCGAGUCAAUUACCUCACAUAAAGUGAAAAAAAAAGUAGUAAAUGUUUCAUCUGAAUUAAAAAAAAAAAAUUAGUUCCACUAUUUCAUGAACGCUCUAUUUGUUUUCCACCAUAAAUUUUUCCAACAAAGUGAUUUGAUGAAAUAACUAUCAUAUUUUAUAAUAUAAACUUUAAUAAAUAACGAUGACAAAAACCUUUGUUUAGUAGAGACAUUGAAAGUAAAUAUUAAAGUAAUAGAGGACAUAAAUUUAUUCUAGACCUUACCCUUCACGUGAAAUUAGCGCAAAAGAAUUGAUUUAAAAGAAACAAGGAAAUGUUAAGUUUAAUUAAUUAAUGAAAUUAUUAUUUUUUUGUUUUCUCUUAAGUAUUAUAUUUGUCUCAAACCGUGAAGAAAGAAGACUCACGUCGCCACCUAGCUAACUUUGUCUGCUUAUUCUUUGUUUCAAAACGAUUCCUUUUUUUUUCUUCUUUUUUUUGUGAAAGAAGUAAAAUGGUGGGAGAAUGUGAGAAGAUGGUACUCAUCUCUUCUUCCACUACUAAUCAAAUAUGGCCACAGGUUUUUUUCCUUUCUCUUUCUCAAUUAUUAGUCUAAAUACCCACCACCCCCAUGACCCCAUCUUUGUCUUGUAGCAUUUGGAUUUAGAAUAUCUCUACAUUGGUCUUGUUAUUAUUUUUACCCUAAACUUAUCACACAUCCACUCUUUUAAUUUCUCUGUUCAUAUUUCAUACGAUAUUUUCUUUCUUUCUUUCUUAUUCUUCAGAUAGAUGAGAAAAAUAACUUGAUGAUGGAUUCAAAUGGUACUAAUGCUGCUACUAGUAAUAAUAUGGAGAAACCAAUUCAAGAUCCAUCACAACAACAACAACAACAACCACCACCACAUCUUAAAUGUCCUCGUUGCGAUUCGUCUAAUACAAAGUUUUGUUACUACAACAAUUAUAGUUUGUCUCAGCCAAGGCACUUUUGCAAGGCAUGUAAAAGGUAUUGGACUAGAGGAGGAACAUUAAGGAAUGUACCAGUUGGAGGUGGAUGUAGGAAGAACAAAAGAAUCAAGAGACCAUCAGUUAAUUCUUCUUCUUCUACUACUACUACUAGUCAUGAUAUAAUUACUACUUCAACUCCAAAUAUUGUAAACCCUAGCCACCAUCAUCAACUUCAUCAUGGAGUAGUCCAUAAUAAUAUUGAUCACCUAUCUACUACAAAUUCACAAAAUCAUCUUAACCCUUUAUUUUAUGGGUUGACACAUGAGAGGUCUGAUCUCAACAUUCCAUUUGCAAGGCUUUUUAAUUCUAGGGUUUCGAGUCAUGCUGGAGGAGUCGACCCUGAGGGACAAGUGUAUUCCUUAACCGACAAUAUCCCGGGAUUAAUGGAUCGUCGUAUGGGGCUAGGGUUUUCAAAUUCUUCUGGAGGAGUAGUCAAUAUGGGUCAUGAGAAUAAUAAUAAUAAUAAUAAUAGUAGUAGUAGUAAUUAUGGGCAUGGUGGGUUCAAUCCUAUUAAGCAAAUCCAAGAUGUUCAUGUCAUGAGUACUAGUAAUUGUACAACUUCAACUACUUCACUUCUUUCAAGUUACCCUAAUAUGUUUGGAUCUUCAUCAUCAACAUCAACUAUGGCUUCUCUUAUAGCUUCAAGUCUUCAACAACAAAAGUUCAUGUCUAAUAUUAAUGGUAACAGUUUUCACAGCUUGUUGACUCCUAAUAAUUAUGAGGAAUUGCAAAUGUCAAGGGGGGAAAACAACAAUACUAAUAUCAAUAAUGUCCAUGAAGGUGGUGGAAAUGGGAUCACAAUGUUGAAAGAAGAGAAAAUGGAUCUAUCAAAUCAUCAAAUUCAUGAACAAAUUAUUAAUUCAUCUGAUCCUUCACUUUCUUGGAAUGGUGCUUGGCUUGAUCCUUCAAAUAUGGGGUCUAAUUCAGUCCCUUCUCUCAUCUAGGACAAGUACAUUUAAAUUUGUCUUUUUUACCUUCUUGAUCUCCCUCUCAUUUUUAUUAACAUGUGUCUUUCCUAGCUAGGUAGGUACUUUUUCGUCUAUGUUGCUCGGAUCCUCCAAGAAUGUUGUUGUACUCGUAUCAUAUACACAUAUCCAGCAAAUGAAGGAUCCGAACAACAUAACUUCUUUUCUCUCCCUUCUACUAAAAUAUUGUCAAGACCAUAUAUAGAAGAAGAAGAAAUAUCAGGGCUUCAUAUUGAUGAGAGGAAUUGGAUCGGAGUGAUCAUGUCAGCUGCAAAAAAAAAAAAUCAGCCCUACUAAAUUUUUACAGUCAAAAGGUUGAAAAAGUCUCUCAUUUUUGCGCUGAGAGGAACCUCGGAUCCUAUUCAUCCCACCACAAUAUCAAGUUAGCUUUAUCAUGAAGAGUACAACAUUCAGAGUUGAUGAAGAAGCUGCUUUCUAGUUCCAGUGAGUUAAUUAGUUUUAGUUUUAAUCUUAAUUUUAAUUUUAAUCUUAUUUUGUAUGUAUAUAGAUGCAUGACAUUGCAAUUUUAAUUUCUUGAUGUACUUUUCAGAAUGUGUAUUAGGUUUUGGGUGGGGGUUACAAUGUUGGAGUCCUCAUUAUAAGAGGACUUAACCAACAAUGUUAACUUUUUUUCAUUUGAGUUUUUUUUUAAUUCUAAGAAUUUUUUCCUCCUUGUAGCUUAGGGGAAAAUGGUUGGGGUAUAUUUUGGGUAUAGAAGAGAGGGAGACUUUGUUGUUUUAAUAUGAUUAUCAUUUUAUUAAGUUUGCCAUGCCAUUUUCUUUUUUAUUUCCUUUGCUCUUGUUAAUUAUUUUCCCUUAGCAAUAUUCUUGUUUUUCUAUGUCAAUUUGACACCAAUUGAACUGAGGUAUUAGAUAUCCAUGAUAAUUGAAGUAGUAAUUCAUCAAAUCAUAUGAUAAAUUUUAAAAAAUAUUUAAGGUAUAUAUAUAUAUAUAUUAUAUAUAAAAUCUACAUUAAAUACCUAUAAAAAUCAAAUCUUUUAUAGCUAAAAACAGAUUUUGUAAUGUUUUUAACUUAUUCUUGAAUAAUAAUGUCUAUUUUAAAAAAAUAGGAAAAAGGGAAUAUACUAUUUUUUGAAUACAACUCAAGGAUAAAACUAAAAGACAGUUAUAGAUUCCCUCUAAAUAGGUAACAUCAAUGUGGCAUUUUUAAUAGAUGAAUAAACCCAUAUAUGAUGGAUUAAUUUGUUGUAAUUGAUUGGUAUGGAAGGUCUAAAUUGAUGUUAGAAAUUAUUAUGGCAUGGUGACCACACACAAAAAAAAAUUAAAAAGAUAGGGUGAGACAGAGAAAAAAGAAAAGAUUCUCUAUGUCAGUAUAUAUCCAUGAGAAAAAAUAAUGGAGUAGUAGUACUGAUGGUUUACAAAGCUGAAAAUUAUUGGGAAGCAUGCUACUACACUAAGCUUAUGUCGAUUCAAUAUUAUUAUUAUGUUAUGUGUUGGGGGUGGGGUGGGGAUAUUCUUCUUUACCCUGACAAUUUGCUUUUUUUUCUUCAUAUAAACACAUACACACCACAUUCUAAAAAGCUUCAUUUCACGUUUUUUUUUCGACUUUAUCCUAUCACAUUAUAAGCCCCCCACCCCCACCCCACCCCACCCCAACACACACACUCCACCACCACUUAUCCCACCAUUUUUUUCGAUAUUUGAUACUUGUGUUAGAGUCUGUUACAUUUAGAUUCAUGCUCCUUAAUAAAGCUGACUUUGUAUCUAUGAUGACACAAAUUCGAGAUUUUUAGGUUAAAUGAUGAAUAAGUACUUAUUACUCUAUCACAACUUUAAGUGGUGCGUAAGCAUUUUCAUUUUUACAUUGAUUGUUAUCGAUCUUGAAAGGGGAAUUCUAAAUUUUAGUUUAAAAGUUUUGAAUCACAUUUAUUUUUAUUAGGUUCUGAAUAUAUUAAUUAUAUAUUUUUAAAUAAAAAAUUUAAUACCAGAAUACAUAGUUUAAACUGAAGUACUAGGUUGUGCUGAAUUUGUAAUCACAAUAUUGACUUAGGGCCUUGUCAAUCUAUUGUCAUUUGUGACAACUCAAUUUGUAGAUACAAAUUUGAAUUUGAGCUCUAUGAGGUUUAAAGUUGAUGUUUAAUUUGCAUUAUUAUUUCUAAAUAGUUUCACCUACUGCUUAUAAGUUGUUUCAACAUACUCACUAAUUGAUUACAUGUGUCUUUGGCACCACAGUAUCAAACCACACAACAAAAAACUUAGAAAUUUCAGACAAGAAUUUAUUUGUCGAAAAUAUUUUUGACGGAUUUUUUUCUCAAUAAAACUUUCAUAUUUUUGAUGGUAUCUGAUAGAAAUAUCUAUUCAAAAUUCUCGUUUUUAUAUAUGUUAAGGAUGUCCAACAUCAUUCUUGAUGAAAUAGUAUGUAUAAUUUGAUUGUACAAUUAACAUAUAUAAUUCACUUCUUGUCAUCGUAUUACACUAAUAAUGUUACAUUGUUGUGUAUGAUAUAAACAUUAAGAAUAAAUUAUUUUGAAAAUUUUGGGACACAUCGAUUACAAGCUUAUCAUUUUAAAUAGUCCACUGAGUUUGUGUCAAUUUUAAUGUGAAGGAAUUAGUUUCAUUAAUACAUGCAUGUGUCAAAGAUAUACGUUAAUAAUUUGGUACUGAAUAAGUAAAUGCCACUUCAAAUUAGCAUUAUUUGAUUGUUGACUGAAAUUCUACAGUUGAUUUUUGCCUCCAUUAAGUGAUGGACUUUUUGUGUGUCCCUAUGUUUUUUUCUACCUCCACUAACACAGAAUCUAGUCAAAUUGCAAAUUUCCAUACUAGACUAUAGUUUUUAUUUUUAUUUUUUUUAAAAAAAAUCCACCUAUUAUCAUGCACCUUGCCUUCUUCAACGUGAUUGACGGUGUGAUUCAACAUUAGUUUGAAUAUUCAAUUUAACAAGGAAAAAAAAUUAAAUUACGUUCUCGCACGAUCAUUAGUAAUAAUUAUCUCAAAAAGUUAAUUUUAUAACAAAAACCCAUUCAAUUAUUUGUCACAUCAAAGUCACUUGAGUAACUAAUUUACGUGAUGUUCUUUUGUACAUGUUGAUUAAGUGAAAUUAUUUCUUUGAGCCAUACUUUUGGAAAAAUGAGAAAGGUCCAAAUAUGCUUUAAAAGUAUUCAAAAUUAUGUCCUUCAUUAAUAAUUGAAUUCACAUAUGCACUAGAUGGUCUAAACAUGCUUUUUAAUUUAACUCAAAACCUCAAUUAAGUGAAAUUAAUAAUUGAAUUCACAUAUGCACUAGAUGGUCUAAACAUGCUUUUUAAUUUAACUCAAAACCUCAAUUAAGUGAAAUAUAUGAUUAAUAAGCAAAAAUAAAGUAAAUACUAGGCUCUUAAAAUAUGUGAAAUUAACAUGGUUUUAUUUUACAUACAUAUAUUCAUUCCUAAAACAUAUACUUGUUGAAGAGUAAGUCAUUUAAACAGACAGCUAGAACCUAGAGAUGACCCUAACUUAAAGGAGGAAGAAGACACAAAAAUAGCCCUAUACUUAGCGAUAGAUAAAUUUUAUAAUUAAAUAAUAAUAUACUUUCCUAAUUUAUUUAAUGAUGAAUUGUUUAAAACUUAUGUUAGCUACAAACAAUUUAAUGAUAAAAUUUGUAGAGACUUUCAAAAAUUUUGUAGAAAAUAAAAAAGGUCAAUCCCCUACACUACACUAUAUAUUUACCCAUUUAAUUUUAACAAGAGGACUGGAUCAAUUUAAUAAAAUAAUGGAUAAUUUUUAAUUUUUAUGAUAUUUUAAUUUAAAAGGUAAAUAAAUUAUCCUUGCAUUAUCUAUUGAAAAUAUAACAUGAGUGACUAUACAGGUGAGAUUAAAUAAAUAAAUAACUCAUCUAUCACUUAAACAAAAAGUUGACUUUCUCAAAUAAAUAACCUUUAAAGUGAGGUGGAAGAGUCUUGGUUAUAAUGGGCUUUGCAGUCUAUCAAUACUGAUAUGGGCCUCAUGCUACGUCUCUUGGUGAAAAGCCUUUUUUUUCAGGAUACAUUUCAGAUAUAUAGCUACUAUCUAAUUUUAUUUUAUUUUAUGGAUAUAAUUAAAUACUAAAUAGCAAAAAUAAUUAUAUUCAAAUAAUUUUUCUAAUAUAUAUGCAAAUAAGUACUAAAUGAUAAAUUAUUAGCACACGCCUAAUCAAUUAUAGUUAGGCACAUUUUACGGUUAUGUUCCCAUGUUUAUCGAUUUUAUCACUUUUCAUUACUCUCUCGUUCAAAUAUCACAGAUUUUCUUUUCCUUUUUUUUACAAGUCUUUGAAAUUCAUAAUUUAUUUUAAGAGUGAUUUUCAUGAUUCUUCUUUAUUAAGAUUCUUGUAAUUGUAUUUUUUCCCCUUUUUUUGACGAUUAUAUUUGUAUAUAUCUAUACUUUUUUGCUAUUUUCAUAAAGUUUUGCUUGAAAAUUUUGUUUUCUCCGUUACAAUGACGGAAAUUAGUAUUGUGAUGAGGGUUAUAAAAUGUAUACAUUUAUUUGACGAAAUUUUAGAUGAACUAUCCUCUUUUGAUUUGUGUGUUACUCAAAAGUAUAGCAAAGAAAAAUUUGAGGCUCUAUUACUGGAGAAUGAAAGAAGAACAAAUAAAGAAUCACAAUUGCCCUAUACCUUCCAUCGUGUUGAUAUAUUAAUACAGUGGAAUACUUAUACAUUUAAAUACUUAUAUUGUAUUAUAUUUCUUUGUUUUUUUUGCCUUUUUAUUGUCCAUUUAUAUUGAAAUAUUAUCACAAGUUGAUAGGUUGAUUAACUACACAAGUACAUUUGGAUACAUAAACACAUUAAGUUUGUAUUUUUUUUAAAAUAUACUCAAAGCAACAUUGUUUGCCCACUGUAUCCAAAUUUUGUCUAACAACAAGAGUAUUUACACUAUAAAGUUUGUCUGAUAAGGUAAAUCAUAUUUUAAUUAUCUUGUUCUAAUGCUAAAUUGCUAUACUUUACUUUAAUAUAUUGAUACAUUAAGUUUUAUAAAUAUUUGUGUUCAUUUGAAAACAAAAUAUUCAUAUGCUAACCGUUUAUAUUGAAAUAUUAACACAAGUUUAAAGAUUGAUUAAUCAUAAAAUACAUUUGAAUACAUAAAUACAUUACGUUUGUAUUUUUUUUUUAAAGUACUUGAAGCAACAUUGUUUGUCCACUGUAUCCAAUUUUUAUAUAACAACAAAGGUAUUUAUAUGUAUAUUAUAUAGUUUUUUUUAUAAGGUAAAUUAUAUUUAAAUUGUCGUGUUCAUAUGCUAAAUUGCUAUACUUUAAUUUGUUUGAUAUAUUGAUACAUUAAGUUUUAUAAAUACUUGUAUCCAUUUGAAAACUAAAUAUUCAUAUGCUAACCGUACACAUAAUAGACUAACCGUGGAUAAAAAAAUAAUUUUUUUUUUAUAUUAAAUCGCCUGAUUAAAGCUUAUGUAGAUAUACAUACAGAAAUCAUGACAUAGUUCAUGAUUUGAAGAGAAACUUAUAUCGGUACUAUUUAAUUAAUUUAAGAGUACAUGUUUGGUGUAUAUUCUUGUUCUUGUAUGCAUGAGUGUCACGUUCAAAAUCAAACUUUUAGAUGCUUAAUGGUAUGUGAAUUGAAGAAUAAAUACAAGAAAGUGAUAAAUUAAUUUAACUAAACAAAAUUAAUUAAAAACCUUUAUGUUGACUAAGAAAAUUAAUUUAACUUAACAAAAUUAAUUGAAUACCUUUAUGCUGACUAAGAAAAUGGAGACAAUUGAAGAAUUGAAUAUGACGUAUCUCAAUCUUUUUGUUAAAUUGAUUAGAAAGUUAAUUUAUGCAUUGAAAGAUAUUUAUAAGUUAUUAAUCUAAAAUUGAGAAGUUGAGAAUUUUGGGACGUAAUUAAAGGUACUCAGUUAUAUUAAAUACCAUAUUUAGUGCAUUCUAAUUAUAAUUAUAUCAUUGUAUAAUUAAGAAAAAUACAUAAAUAUAUCUAAAUAUACAUAUCUAUAGUCGUUUUUGAUAAAUAACAUACUUAUAGGUGUUAAAUUUCAAUAAUUCUAUAAAUAUAAUUAUUUAUGUAAGUUACUCUUCUUUUUAUUUAAUAAAAGAAAUCUAAACUAAAAUAUAACUGUGACCUAAGUUUAGAAUAUUUUUUUCUUAUUUAGCAUAAGUUACUAGCAUAAGUUACUGACUUAUGCAUGCAUAAAGUUUAAUUCAAGUUUAUUGAGUUUAAUCGCAUACUUAAUUUUUAUCAUUCAUCUACCUCUACUUAACUACUCGUUAGAUAUCACUAAUACAAGUACUAAGUAAUUAUAUUCACCAAAUUAAUAUUACUCUAGGUCUACGACCGCUAGGUUACUUAGAAAGGGCACGCAUAUAUUAUAAAUAAAUUAUGGAGUACUUCUAUAACAAGUACAGAACGUUGGUUCGUUUGAUAUUUGUCGGCAUGUCAACCAUUCAUUUCUACCUAAUAAAUUAAAUUAAACAUUAGACAACAUUUUAAAGUUUUAGGCAAUGAUAAUGAGAAACUUCAAAAGAUCAAAAUGUUUCACGGACUUUACAAGGAGACACUUAUAUACAUAUUUAGAAAGCUAGGGAAAGGUCUAUCAAAUUCUUGUUACGACUUCUUUUAUAAAAUAUUGUAAUAGAUGUAAUUUUUCAACAAAAGUAAUUCAAAAAAUAUUCUCAUCGAAUGUAUAUAUAUUUGACCAUCCUUACUAAUAUAAUAACUUAAAAAGAGACGACACACAAAAGAAUAGCUGAAUGAUAUGGGUGCCCACAGUUAACAUCCAAAGAAUGAUCUUAUAAAGCUAUGGGUCAUUAAAACUUAGUUCACGUUCACGUUAAAAAUAUCUUUGAAGCUAAUAAUGACUACUAUGUUAAAGAGUGAUAAAAAGACUCUAAUGAGAUGGGUGAACUAAUUAUAAUGCUUGGACAAUCCUCCUCUAUUUGAGCUAGAUUUUGGUGUGUGAGUUAGGCCUAAAAUCUAAUUUAACAUUGUAUGCGAGCAAGACUUGUCUCACUUGACGUUGGGACCCUUAGAAUCAUAAUUGUCCACGCACCAUAUGCCAAGCACUGGGCGUGAAGUGAGAUGUUAAAGAAUGACAAAAGUCUCAUAUUGAUGGUAAAUGAGACGAGUGGACUCCUUAUAAGACUUGUGCAAUCCUCCUCCUUUGAACUAUAACUUUUGGGGAUGAGUUAGGCGUAAGACCUAAUUUAAUAUACCAACUAAAAGAAUGUGAAAUAAGUAAUUGUCAAAAAAAUUAUUACCGUUAUUACUCUAAAAGGACAACUUGAAAGCAAAAUUAUAUUAGAAGUUUUAGACGAGAGGCCCAUUACAUAUAUUUAGACAUGAUCAAUUGAAAUUUUCCUUCAAAACAUGAGCAAUUAGCAUUUGAUGAAAAAUAUUGGUUGAAUCCAUUGGUAUUCUCUCGAAGUUGGCAUCAAAUUUUAUUUAAAAAAUUUAAUUAGAUUUUUUUGUUCAUUUUGAAUACUUAUAGUAAGCUUUUAUCGUGUCAUUUCGAUAUUUUUUUUAUUUCCAGAUCCAAUUUAAGUGCGUGUUGACAAACGCCUUUGUUGGAGGAAAAAAAAAAAGACCAAUCUUCAAGUGACAAAUAAAUUCAUUUUUAAAAGAAAAAGAAAAACAUCACUUUUUUUUUCUCCAGAUGUGUAAUCCUAUGCCCCAGACCCCCUUUCUUCAUCUUCUUCCUAUUCCAACAAGAACAUAAAAAUCUCCCAACCAUUUCGUUCUCAGAAAAUUCAUUCUUCAUCUUCUUUUUAUUUUGUGCCUUGAAACUAUUAUUUUUUUUAAUAAAAAAAACCUCUUCUCCUCCGUUAUCGAUGUAUAAUCUCUUCUUAUCCAACUCAUUUCCUCCAUCUUUUCUAUUAUGUAUUUUCUUUUACCGGAAGUCAUUAUGACUUGUAGCAGCAGAUACAAAUAUAAGAAUUUCACUUUUUUAAAAUAUUCAUUUAUAUUAUAGUGGAAAAGAAGUGAAAGAAAAUAUAAUAGUUGUGUAUUUUAAUAUUUUGUACUAGUAUUGAAUGAUGGAUAAAAAAUUAAAUUUAAUUUUUAAGAAAAAAGAAAAAACUAAGUAAUGUACAAAUUAAACUUAAAACCAACAAAAAUUAUAUGCUUUUCCAAAAGUUAUGUGAUGAUGAGGGGCGAUCUAUGGUUCUAUAGAUGCUCAUAUGAAAAAAAUUAAUAAUUUAUCACUAUAAUUUUUUUCGUUUAUCCUUAUUAUUAGCUAUGAUAACAUUUCUCUAAAUUAUAAGAAAUUGUUAUUCUAUUUAUUGGUCACUAUUAAAAAUAAAACCUGUGAACCGGUGAAAUUUUAUGUUAUGAAAUAUGAUUUUUUUGGUUAUCCGCAUCAGUUCGAUGAAAAAUGUAGGGUGAAAAAUCAAUUCUAACUAAAAUAGUGAAAAACUUCCUUAAGUUUCAAUAGGAAUACAAUGCUAUUUUUUUCUCACCAAUUCAGUUAAAAUAUCUAAAAAAGAACAUUUUUCUAAUAAAAAAAUUGAUUUUUUUUAAAUAUGUCUUUUAUAGAAUAAUAAUGAACAAGUAUAAAUUUUUUUCCGAAAAGGAGAAACAAAGUUGCCUGAAAUUAAAAGUAAGUUGUUAAGGAAUGUCACCAACUAACGUUAUAUUGAACAAUAUCUUCGUUAAUUAUACGUGAAAUUCUUUAUAAAAAAUACAUGUCAACAAUGAAAUAUGAACCCUGAUUAAACAACACUAAAAUAGUACUAAAUACCCAUCCAAGAGCCAUUGGAUCAAUUAGAUCAGUUAUUCAUUAGAUUUUUUAUGUUAAUUUUAUAUAAACAAUAUUUAAUUUUUAUACACGUAUAUAUAUCGUAAAAAAAUUAAUAGGUGCUCGAAUACCCGACGAACUCCACCUAGGUCCGCCCUGGGAUUACUAACCUCAUUCUGAAGUUGAAACAUCCGUUAGUAGAAUAAAGUAACUUCAAAAACAUUUUAAACAUAAAAGAGAAGGGAAUAAUGAUCGAACCCUUAUAUGUACACAUUUCCUCCUCCUUUUUUAAAAUUUAAUAAUAAUAAAAAUACUCCCCUUAUUGUUGUUGUAGAGAGUGGUCCAAUUAUCUAUGUAGUAAUCCUUAGAAUAUUUCUCCAAAUUCGAGGAUCCAAAAAUGUCAUUUAAGAGACACCAAAAAUAGGGUAUGAAUUAUGAUAAUCUUCAACUUCAAAGACUACUCAAUUAUCCAUAAGCCACAUGUAAACGUGCAUAUGGAUGGGUAAACUAAAAUACUAGUACUUCCUUCAAUUAUUAUUUAAAUAUUAAUAGUAAUAUAUAGGGCAUUUAAUUUUCUAAAUUUUUUGAUGAUGAAAAAUGAAACGAAGUGAUAUAAAAAAAAUAUGAAAGGAGAAGCAAUACACGUGGGCUUCAAUGUGGUAGGAUUUAAUCUAUUUCGUAUCAAAUUGAAAAUUACCUAUCAUUAGAACAAUUCACAACAUCGUAGGGGAAAAAAAUGGCAAAAAUUUAGCUAGAAUGAUAAUUUUUUUUAUGUUAUUUUAUUUUUUUAAUUUCAAUAUAUUUAAACUAAAAAAAGGAUUAACUUAUGUUAAAAUAAAAAAUAUUAUAAUUUUUUUAAUUUUAUUAUCAAAUUCUGAUCAAAAUUUUCUGAUUGUUUAGUACUUUCCUAAUUUUACUUACUUGUAAAAACAUGGUUAUCUCUAAUUGGCCAAUCCAACCUAAAUCAUUAAAAGGUCCAUAAUAUAUACUCCUUUCAUUUCAUCAUUUCUUCUUUUAAGUACAUAAAUGUAAAAAUUAAACAAGAUAUUAUGGCAGUAAUAAGUAUGUUGACAAAAUGGUCCUGCUGGAGCUUACACGUACGGGUGUGUUUCGUACAAAGAAAGUUAUUUCAAAAAACAAAAUUAAAAAAUUAUGAGGAAUUCAAUAUUAUGAAAUCUAUUUUUUCAUUAAAGGAGAAAUAUAAUGUUGUUAUUUGCUCUUAUUUACCCUAAAAAAAAUAAUACUUCACUUGAAGAAAUUUCAUCAAAACAUUUUGAACCCCCAUUGACUUUACAGUUAUAUCAAGUAUUAAUAAUCACAACAAAAUACAUAUAAAUAAUUUAAUUCAUCUGGCUUUCCAUGAGAAUGCAUGUAUAUGUAGCCCCCAUUUGCUUCAAGUCUAAGCAAAUUCAGCUAAUUAUAAUUUUAUAAAUUUAUUAAUACCAUUAUCUUAAAUUCCUUAUGUGACACUAUUUUAUUAUUUAUUAUUUUGUUCACAUAAAAAAAAAGUUAAAAAGUUGAACCAGGUUGUUCAACCACAAGACUGGCUGACCAAAUGAUGGUGGAGCUGGGGUCCCACCAAAGUCCAUAGCAAUGUGGGACCCUUAAAUAUGUUCGAAAGGGUAAUUAGAAAUGAUAUAUGAUGGGGAAAAAUUGUCGCACACUAGAAAAUCAUCUACUUAUGAAUGUGUCAAUAAAGCCACACAAUGGAUUAUUAUUCUUGCAUGCAUCUGUCACUUGAUCCCUUACACUUGUGCUUUUCUUUUUUUCCUUGUAGGUGAAAAAAAAUAUAAUUUAUUUAUUUAAAUUAAAAAUAUUUAUAUUUAAUAGUUUUAUAUAAAUUGUUAUUUUUUAUAUUCAAUAAAAUAAAUAAAUUGAAUCGUGUAAUAUGAUUCUACUCCACACCCAUCUCAAGAUUGUUAUGGAUUAUCAUAUAUUUUUAUAUGGGACCCUCCAAGUCUCACACCAUGCCCCUUUCACCUCUAAAUUAAUUUCCACUCAAGAUAGAUAGAUUCUUUAGACCUGAUAGACCUUGUCCCUUUCACGUCUCUUCAAUUCCCACCUCUUGAAAUUUCUGUUUCCAAACUAUUCUUUUUUGUUAGUGCACAAUUAGAGGUUAUUCACUAAUUAGAUAAGAAAUAAGUUAUUUAUAUAUUAUUUAACUUUAGAUAAUUCUUGUGACGUUUGAUAGAUUGAUGGAUAGAAAGUAAAUUAUUUGUAUGUAAAAUUAAUAUAAUAUUUAGUACACAAAUUUAAAAAAUUGAGAUAAUUAAUACAUGUAUAAUCUUGCAUAACUAAAGUACAUUUAUACACGUAUAACCUUCGAAUAACUAAUAUCCAUGUAACAUAAUACAUAAGGUCCUUCGUAACUAAUUCUUAUAUUGCUAAUAUUCACUAGCUCUAAUCAGUUAUAGCUUACUAAAAAAACUAAUCAACAAUUAAGAUGUAGGAAAAGUAUAAUCUUAGGAUUAAUAAUCACUAAAACUAUGUUAAUGCUUUUAUUUUCUUCGUUCGAGCUCGAAAUUUUCGAUUAAAAAAAGAGGAUCGAUUUAAAUAUGUCAGUACACCUUUUGAUCGUCAUGUCUCUUAAGUUAAGUGUACCAAAGAGUGUUCCUUGCGGAGAACCAAUCAAUUUUAUUAGUAAAACGAUGACGUUUAAACUUAAUUUUUUUAAACAAGCAAUUAAAAGUACGAUUAUCUUUGCAUAAAGAGAAACAUUAGUUAAAUUUCGGAGUAACCAUUUGCUUCCAGUCUGUUAGAGUGCAAAGUGCAUUUGCAUAUACUCAUAUUCACGUGGCAAUAACGAUAGUGAAAUAUUUCCUCCAUUUUAUUUUACUUGGUCCCGUUGAGAUAAUAUAUUUCUUAAAAAAAUUUUAAUUAGAAAUAUAUUUUAUUUUCUUAGUAAUAUUUUGAAACUUCAAACCUAACUAUUACUAUGUUAAUUUUUAAUAAUGAGGAUAUAAUAUGAAAAAAAUAAUGUGAUAAAGGUCUCUUAAGUUGCUGAAAUCAACCAGCAAAAUAAAACAUCAAAUUUUGUAUAGGACCCAAGUAAAACCAAAUAGAGGGAGUACUUAAUUUGUUCCAAAUUAUUUACUUAAAAUAGAAAUCUCCGUUCGUUAUUAUUUGUCAUGGUUUUAUUUUUAGAGUCAAACUAUAAAAACUUUGAAUAACAUUUUAAGAUGCAUUUUUUCAUCAUAUUAAUAUGAAAAAAAUUGUAAUUUAUAGUACUUUUCAUAUAAUUUUAGAAUAUCUAAUUUUUUUAUUUAAAAUAUCAAAUUAUUGUAAUUUAAUUUACCUUUAAAAAUUAGUCAAUUUAACUUUCGAUAAAUACAACAUGACAAAUAUUUCCAGACGGAGAGAGUACAUUUUACACAUUUUUCUCAAAAUUUUAAAUUUUACAUUUAAAUUUAUGACUUGCUGUGAUACUUUAUAUUAAUUAAUUAACUAACUUUAAUACAAUCUAUUAUGUUUAUUUCAUUAUGUGGCAGUUUGACUUCGACAGAGAAGCAGCAUUUAUAAACGUUUACUCUUUUAGACAUCUCAUUUAUAGUUGCAUCAGAAGUUUAGAACUCGUAGCAAUCAAUUUUGUGAAUUUUUUAAUAUUAAUAAUGACUGUUAUUCCAUUAUAAAACUUAAUUAAAAUAACAGACUCAAAUUUUAAAAUGUGUGAAUUCUAGACAUAUAUUAAUUUAUAGGUACAUCUUUCUUGAGUGAACUUUUAUCCAAAAAUAUAUAGGAUUUAAACCAAAUUAAAUUAGUGAAUUAUACCCAACUUGUACCUUAUAUGCUAGAUUUUUUUAUUUUUUUUUAAAUAAAAAAAAUUAGAGGAAGAUGAAGGGAUAAUAGAAAAGGGAUAAAAAAGAUAGAUAAUCAAACUCUUACUAUUUAUUAACAAGGUAAAAAUCUAGGUAGUCGACUAACUAAACUAUUUAGUUUCUACAAUUGAGCUGCUAAGAUUCCUCAUGAACCUCUGAAAAAAUUGUCUUCCAAUUUAAACACAUCCAAUCAAUUUAAUUUUCAAUUAUUUUAUCCACGAAUUUAUUUAUUUCAUGUUGAAGGUAAAUAUUGAUGGUUUGGGUAAAAUUUAGAACCAUCAAAAUUAAUUGAUUUAAUAAUGAACGAGUUAUUGACACAUUUAAAAAUAACUUAGGCUGAAUUGUUGAUCAUAACAACUCAUUCAAUUUUUAUUAAGUUUUAUUUGCUUUGUUUAUUUAUUUUUUAUUUUUUUAAUAUUUUUUUAUUAUGACGAUAUAUAACAUAUCAAAUUAAAAAAUAUUUUAUUAAAAAAAGUGACAAAAAAUUUAUGAGCCAAUUUGAACUAUAAUCAAUCUAACUUUUGAUUAAUUAAAAUAUACUAAAUUAAAAUAUGAAAGAAUCAAAAACCUAUCAAAGGACAAGUUAUAUUUUCGAAGCUAGUAUUGCCGUCUCUAAAACCUACAAAUAUCUAAAAUAUUCCAAACUUCUUGUUUAAUCAAAUUUAACAGCUAGUGGAGUAUUUUCUGUAGUACCAUCAUGCAAAUUAAUUAUAGGAUCCUCAAAUAGUGGAGUAUCCUACUUCUUACGAAUAAAAAUUAUCAUUAUUUUAGUGUUCGAGUUAGGUGGUGUAUUGAAAUUAUUCUUAUUAUAUAUAUUUCUUAUGUUUUAUAAGUAUAAAUAUCAAAUAAUUUUAUUUUUUAUAACUUUGAUAAACAAAAAGCUUAAUUAUUUCCUUCAUCUAAUAUUAUAUUUUAUCCUAAUUUUUAAAAAUAUUGUCUCCAGUUAUUUGUCAUUUCAAUAGUUCAAGAAGAUGUUAAUUAUUUUUAUCCAUUUUAUCCUUAGUAUAGUGAUUGUUUUCUAAUACUAACAAUAAAUCAAUAAAGUAAAUAUUUAAUAGAGAAAAUAAUAUAAUAAGAAAUGCAUAAGAUCGAUUAUUAAAAGGAGUAAUAUGUUUGCAUUAGAAAGUAUAAUGACCAAGUUUAUUUAUAUAUAAUCAUCCUCGAAUAGGAGGAAACCAUAGUGAUUAGUCAGAGAAUUCCUUUUUGCUUUAAUAUAAUAUAAUAUUAAACGUAAAACUAAAAUAAUAAAUAAAAUUGUUAUUCUCCCAACAGAUUUGAUCAUCCCAUAGGAAAGAAGUCUAAUUAGACCCAAGAGAUUUUCAUUUCCAACCUGCCAAUAUUCUCUGAUGAAGAUCUAAACCCAUGGCAGACCAAAGAUAUGCCUUUGCUCGAAAACCGCAGCCCUAAAUUAAAUUACUUUAUCUUUCUUUAUUCAUCAUGUACUUCUAACUAACUUUAUUAAUUUAACCUAAUGUGCUUUUAAAUACUAGUAUUCUCUUCAUCUCAUCUUUACAAAUUUUCAACUUCAAUGCUUUUUUUUAAAGAUUAAUCGAGAAAAAAAAUUAGAUAAAACCUUGAACUAUCGUAAAUGAUAUUUCGAUACUUUUUGUCAUACUUUUGAAAUAUUGGUGUCUCUGCCAUUCAAAAAAUUAAAACAUAUAUAUCAUUUAUACUAACAGACAUACACGUGUAAUAACCUUAUCCAUCGAUCUGAUAUUUAUUAAAUAUCGGGUCAACGAAUAAAAUUGUGUCAGCUUGUCCCUAUUAAGUCUACUGUUUGAGUGAAGGACAUACAUGCUCUAGUUUUUGAACAACAGAGGUAUCAAUGUCCCAAAAGUAUGACGACAAAUAUCUCUAUAACAUGUAUAAUAGUUCAUAGAUUUUUUCAAUAUUUUUUCUCAAUUUAAUUUAGUAACAUUACUUUGUUAAAAUUAGUGUCAAGUCAAAAACCAGAUAAGUUUGAAACAAAAGAGUACUCUAAUAUUUAUUUUUUUGAAAAAUAAAAAACUCAAAGGUGCAUAACUGACGUGUCCAACUUUAAUUUUUGGUUCAGGUAUGCCCACCCUCUCCCCCCAUCUACCAAAUCCAUUUGAUGAUUUCAAAAGGGAAUGUGUGCGUGUUGCUUUCAAUUCAUCAUGUCAUUAUGAAUUAAAUAUUCAAACCAGUACAACUGUUACUCCUUAUAUAUUAACUACUGUAUAUGUAACUAGUUAGGCUAGGGCAUAUGCUAAUUAAUAUCUCAAAUUAAUGCACAAUAUAUAUAUAUAGUAGCCCAAGCUAAAGAACUUUAGGAAUUGAAACUUGCCCGUUGCCACAUUAAUAGAACUCCUAAAUCAUUCCAUUGAAUAGUCCAUUAAGUCUUGUAAUAUAUCAACAAAUUAAAAUGAUCAUGCAUGCAAGUUCAUUUACAUAUAUAUGUUCUAGAUGGAAUUAGCAACCUACCCCUCCACAGCUUCUACAUAAAAGAGGCGUUUUAUAGUGCUGGUUCGUGUGAGGUGGUGAGAGUAAACGCGAAUUCAAGAUUUAAAUUUAAUUCUGUCACACACUUAUAUAUGAUUAAUUUGAAUGGAAAAAUAAAAUAAAUGAAGGUUUAGGAGGGCACAUGCAGAAAAGGCAGAGAGGAGCCAAGUUGUCUAUAUCACUUUUUUGCCAAAGAGAUGAGCUCACCACCAAUCUCUCAUCAGCUCCAUGCAAAUACUAACAUUCUCUCUUUAUAUAUAUGGUUGUUUCCUUUUUGUAGACUUUUUCAUACUCUAUAAACCCUAAAAAUAUAACAAAGCAAAAAGAAAGUGUUUUUUUUUCUUCUUCUUGCUUUUCGAACUACGUAACUGAUAGAGUUAAACAUUAAUAAAGCUGAAUUAAAGCAACAAAAAAGAUAAGGCUCUAAUAACAUACAAACACAUUUAACUUUUUAGAUUAAAAGUUUGAAAAAUACAAACCUAACCCAAUCCAGAAUUUCUCUAUAAGAAGGUAAAUACAUCAUACAAUAAUUUUAGCUAGCUAGGCUAAGGUUAACUCCCUUUUUCCCCUUCAUGUCUCUUUGUAUUAUAUUUUCUGCGUUUUACUAAAAAAACGCAGAGAUUAAUUACCAUUGAAAAGUUUCUCUCAUUGAAGAAACCUUAAAUCUCAUGGAGAUGGGCCGAACCCUGGAAGAUCAGGCCACUGAUGAUCAUUCGGACCAAGAGAUGCAUUAGCAGCGGAGCUACUAGCAGCUCCGCUGCUAGUGUUACUGGCUGAGUUAUUUGGCCAAAUAUUAUUAUUGUUGUUGUUGAUGAACCUUUGUGUCCAUGAACCCAAAGGCCUUGCAGGUUGAAACUGCAACGUUUGAUCAGAUGGAAAAAUGAUGAUUCCAAAUUGGGCUUUUGGUAAAAUCCAGUACUCUCCAUUUGUUGAUCAAUUUGAACCUUAGGAGGAGGAGUUGGAAUAUUGAAAUUACCAAAUUGGUUGUUAUUAUUAUUGGUGCCUGAAAUUACUCCUAGCUGAGAUUGAUUAUUGAUACCUUGGGAUAAUUGACUCAUUGAUUGCAUGGCAGCUAAAGAAGAUAAAAAUCCCCCACCACCAGCAGCACCGGUAUACAGAGAACUCAUUGACGGAAGUGGUGGCGGUUGAGAUCUCGAAUUGUUACCUGAGAAAAAAGCAGCUGCAGCAGCUGAUAAAUUCGGUAUCUGCGGCGGAUAUAGUACUUGAUGAUGAGAUCUAGAUGAUGAACUUUCACCAGCUGAUGAAGAUGAACCGCCGCCCUUCAUUGUGCGUUUACCUUUACGGCAACCACCGCCGACGGGGACGUUCCUUAGGGUUCCACCUUGAGUCCAGUACCUCCUACACGUCUUGCAGAAAUAGCGAGGCUGAGUCAAACUGUAAUUAUUGUAGUAGCAAAACUUGGUAUUGUUUGAAUCACAACGAGGGCAUUUCUGCGGUGGUGGUUGUGCUGGCGAAGCUGAGUUGUUUUCCGGCAUCUUCAUUCUUCUUUGCUGCUGAUUCCGAUCAUUCUCUCCCGAUGAUCUUCCACCUAAUUGAUCCUCCAUCUCACUCUUUUCCACUUUUUCCUUGAUUGAGAAAAGAAACUUAUUUCAAUCAGUUUUUAUAGUGAAACUUCUCUUCUUCCACAAAUCACAAAUUCAGAUUAAGUAAAUGCACACACAUGCAAGUCAACCCCUUCAGUCCCUAGAGAUAUGAUUGUAAUUAAAUCUCAAACUUCUCGUCAACGUUUAUACGGUCAAUCCUUCCUUUGAGAUUAUCUAAUCAUAUAUAUAAGGAACUAAAAAUUGAAGAGCAUGAGAAUUUCUAUAAAAAUCCAACUAGUAGAUAAUUACCCUUUUGUAAAUGAGGAAAAUAGAGUUUAAAAAAAGACAUAUAUAAGGAAAUAAAUAAUAACUACCACCACCUGCCUGCCUUUUUAUGGUUAAUCUUCAGUAAAAAAAAAUAGUCAGUUUACACAAAGACAAUGUUUUACUAGUAGCUUAGACAAGUUUAGAAGGAAAAAAAAAAGAGUUGGGUUGGGGUAGGGUGGGUUAAAGGGGGUGGGGUAAGAGGCGUGCGUGGCUACAUAUGAAUGUUCAGAGAAUAGUGAGAUGGGACCGAACGAAGAGGUAUGGUUUAUGUUGUGUUUCUGUUGCGUCUGUGUUCAAUCUCGUCUCAACAAAUAAAGGAAAGAAGCCAUAAUUUUCAGUUCAACAAACUUCUGAGCAGACAAGAAUUUCCCCUAAUAACGACAAAUUAGUUUUGCGAAUUUUAAUUAUGGACAAGUACAGUAGCAAUAGGAGUAUGUGGACCACUAGGGGAGGAAUUUUGAGGCGGCGCCGGCGCCGGCGGAGAGAGGGCGGCAGGAGGUGGAGGAUCUGGCGGUUAAUUGUUAUAUCAAAUGGGUUUUGUGUUAGCUGUGUCAGCUUAUUAGUCAUUUUUUAUUCUCCACUUUAAUUUUUUUAUUUCAUUCUCUUUCUCUCUCUCUCACACACACACUUGUAACUCUGUCAUGUUCAUGCUUUAUUAAAAAGUAACAGACCCACGUCCAUGGUUCAUAAGAUUAUUUACACCGAAAUUGGCAACUCGAUUGACUUGACAUAAAUUACCCUAAGGCAACUCAAUUUAUUUCACGCAAAUUAUUAGUUUUAUUUUUGUAUUUAUUGAUAAAAUAUGUCUUAUGAUAACUAGCUUAACGUGGAUAUAUUAUUGAUUUAUUACAUGAUAAUAACAUAAUAAUAAGUGACUUCAAAUUUAUAAAAAGUUGAGAAUGUGCUGGAAAGUACUUUUAAAUUUAACGAGAAUUUAAAAGAUAGAUUUUACUUAUAUUGUCAGAUUGAUAACGUAUUUGAAAUCUAAUUAAUCAAAUACAUGUUUUUAAGACAAUUGAAUGAUUCAAUACUUUUCUCUUGUUAAUAACUUGGAAAAGGGUUUCCCUCUUUUCUCAUUUGAGAGUUCCUUAGCUAUGUGUUUUAAGAUGUUUCAGUAAAGAUUUGAUAAAUUUAUUAUAUCUUAAGCUUUGAAUAUUUCAGCUACAGUUUGUUCUGAUCGGGUAUCAGAACAUAAAGUAAAUUAUUUUUCUUAAAGUAAUAUUUAUAAUAUAAUUCUGAAAAAAAACCUUUUCAUGUAAUUUCAAGGGUAUAUUUAGCAGUAAGUUAAUCACAGAUAACAUACAGAAGGACCUUAUUAUUUCAAAAAUAAUAAUAAUUAAAUUAUAUAAACACAGUUUAAACUCAAAUUGAAUAAGUUAAUAACAUAAUAUUUCCCUGGAAAAAAAUAACAUUAUAUUCCUCAAUUUUUUGCCCUUGAGCCAUUUAAAUUUAUAUUCAUAAAACGAAACAGAAGCGGAUGCUAACUUACACGUAAUUCGAUUAAUUAGCUAAGGAGGUUAAGUGUACGGAUUGAGCUGAAUGUAUGUUUACUCAAGCUAAUACAUGUAUAACCAGCUCAAUUCACACUAAGUUUUAGUUUUAUCAUCUGUAUGUAUAAUUUGUUAUCUACUAAAUUCUAGUUAUUUGUAAUUAUUAUUGUUAUUACUAUAUAAUACAUCAGUCAUAAGAAAUCUUUUGUCCAAAUUCUCAUGAAAUAACUUUGAGUUAUAUAUAGACUCAACUUUUAGCUAGAUGUAUCAAAAUGUAUCGAAUUUAUAAUAAAUUAGACGAAUUAACGAUUCAUACAAAUUUAAAUUGAUAUCGAUAUCGAUAUGGCACUUAGGUGAGGCACGUGACAUAAUGCAUAGCUUUAUUGUCGGAGGAGCUAUGGAUGUGGUGCUAGAAUUAAGCCAAUGGAAGUUACAACUGCCCCCAAACCAUACAAAUUAAGCCCAUACUCCUUAUUUACAUAUGUUGUGAGAAAAUAUAAAUUGAAAUAAACCUACUCUUCCAGUUAUAAAUAAUAUAUAUUUAUAUGCCUACGCCGUAUCUUCAAUGAAUCAUAUAUAUUUAUAUAUUUAUUUAUAAGUAACUAUGCUAUUCCUAGACGUGGAUAAUAACUAUUUGUAGAGGUUGCUAAUUGAAUAUAAUAGCCCCUGCUUGGAUAGCACCAGCGGUUAAAUGUUGAAGUCUAAAUUAUUUUUUGGUUAUCACAUGAUUAUUAAAUUAACUAAAAAGAAUAAGUAAAAUUUAUCAUUUCCAAACGCACUUUGAUGUCGCUGCAACAUUUUGUUAAGGCCCAACACUACUGGGCCUAUCUUCAAUUUUUUCUGAAAGAUAGGCGGAGCCGGACAUUAUAUAAAAAGUGUUUAUAAUUUUAAAAAGUACUUUUUGAUGUGAAUUUUAACUAAUAAAAAUGUUUAAAAACAUUUGAAGUGAUGUGAAUUUUAACUAAUAAAAAUGUUUAAAAAUAUUUGAAGGGAUCAUACGAACCCUCAACCUUCAGCUCCGCACUUUCAACACUCAUUUUAUCAUUGAGCCAACUCCUAUAAUUACACAAGUGUGUGCAAACCCAAAUAUAUAUUAAAAAUAUCGUAAAUUUAUUUCGUAAGUACGAUAUAACUUUUCGAGACAAAGGGUGCUCACUUGCGCACCCUUUAUUAGUUGUAGCUCUGCUCCUGCUUCACAAGUUACAACCAAUAUAUCGAUAUCGAUAGUUCAUAACCUACGAAAAUACAAAUUCGUAUGAAUUUUACUUGGAGCUUAGGUGAAUAAACCUAUCGAAGUUGGACCCAAAUUGCAAUUUCUCAACUCUUUGUUUGGAUAGUUAUAUUUUGUUGUUAAAUUAAAUAUAAUAUUUAUUUUUAUUUAAAUUCUAUUAUUUUAUAUCAUUCAAGUUCAUUAUUAGGUACAUAAAAAAAGAACACAUUUUAUAUAACAACUAAUUAAAUCACAUCACUAUCCUUAACAUUUUCUAUCAUUCAUUAAAAUACAAUACUAUAUAAUAACAAACGAUCUAAUCUAUCGAUCGUUGAAACAAAUAUAAUUCGAAUACAAUAUAUGAAGCAAUACAUUACAACCAUCCAAAAAAAAGUGUAAAGGAAAUAAACUUAAAUUUCUUUUUCCCUCUUCCAAUAAUCUUCCCUCUCCUAUUCCACCUUUAAGAAAAUAAUCUUAAUGUCUAUUCUCCUCUUUCUAUAAUCUUCCUUUUCCCACUAACUUCCAAGAAAAUUAUCUAAUUAUCUUAAUGUCCAUUUUCUAUAAUUCCAUAAAUCUCCCAUUCCCUAUUUCACCGUUAAAAGAAAUAAAUAUUAAACGUCCAUUUGCCUCUUCCAUAAUCUUCCUUUUCUCCCUUUCCUAUAUAUUGCAGCUUACCUUAGAUGCUAUUUCAAAUUCUUAACACAAAAUUUAUGUUUGUAAAAAUGGAAGUGAUAUUUCCAACUAAAAAGAACUCCUGACAUUAGAAAAUAUUCAUACUUGUAUACAAAAAUAAGCAAAAAGGAAAUAAGUCCUGCAACAUAUUAGCCCAAAAGAAAAACCUUUUAUCACUAAAAUUAUUCAAAUCAAACUUCCACUUCCUCUUUUCCUCAAAAUUUCUUAGAAUGACCUGAACCCCCUGCUGCAGGCCUCCUCUGCUCCACCACAUCUUCAUCCAUAGUUUUCUCCCUCGUACGAUCUUCGAUAUAAUCAUCAACGGACUUAUUCUCGUCCUCCGCUGAACCAACAACAGUUUCCUUGAUCUUCUGACCCGUCUCUUUCGCCGCUCCCAUAGCAUCCUGCAUUGCUUGCUUAGCUUUAUCAGCUAUUGCCUGUGCUGUCUCAGCAACUUUACUUGCCCCUUCCUUCGUGGCCUCUUUCGUAUCGUGCGCGUAGUCUCUCGUCUUAUCAGCCAUGGACUCUGCAGUGUCUUUGGUCUUCUCCUUCAUGUCGUGGGCUCGCUCUUUGGCAUUCUCCUUAGUGUUAUGUGCCAUUUCGGCUGCCUUGUCUCUCCCUUCUUUUGCUUUAUCGGCUGCCUUUGCAGCCAUAUCGUUUGUCUUGUCCUUCAUGUUCUCUGCACUUUGCUUUGUUUUAUCUUUCAUGUCUUUGGCUGUACGCUUAGUUUCGUCCAUGGAUUCUUUUACAUCGUCUUUCGUUUUAUCAGCCAUCUCUCUCAUAGGAGAUUUCUCUUCUUUAACACCUCUAUCGAAGUCUUGUCUUCUUUUUAAAUCCUCCGAUGCAUGGAUUCCCUUGAAACAUAAAUUGGAGACGCAGAAUCAAUGUAAAAUAUAUUGUUGAGGGCAAUAAAUAGUACUUGCUCUGUCUCAAUUUAUAUUGCUCUGUCUCAAUUUAUAUGAGUUAGAACUAGACUUUUUUAUAUUAAAUAAAAUUUUAACUAUAACACAAAUUUUUGUCAUUUUUCUUUCUUAAACUUUGCGCCAAAUCAAACUAGGCGUGGAACGUAACGAAGGGAGUAUAAUCUAAAUCCAAAGUUAAAAAGUAUAAAAAGAACAUGUACUAAUUAUUGAAUAUAGAUUCCAUCGGUUUAAUACAUGCAUAAGAAGACACAAUUUAAACAUAAAAUUAAAAGACAUUUGGUACUAUACAUUUCAAAAAGAAGAAAAAAAAAAUUAAAGAGUACCUCAGAGUGAUUAGGGGAAGAUGAGAAGCAGACAUGGGAGAUUUUGUGACGAAUAACGAGAGAUGUUGUUCGAGGAAUCGUCUUCGAAGGGUAAAAAAAGGAGACAUUGCGUCUAAGGAAAAUUGAAGAGGUUCUAGGAAGUGACUUUGACAGGUUCAAAAUGGCGUUUUUAGUGAUUGACAUCGCUGCCAUUGUUGUUGCUAUCACAAAAUUUAGGCUCGAUUCUCUGUGUGUGUGUGAGAGAUCUGUUGCAGUUUCUGUGUUGCAGUUUGCACAAGUUGAAAUGAUUUGGUAAUUUGCUUUGAUGUUAUAGUGACAGAGUUGCAAAGGAUGAAAAAAUUGGUGUCCUCGUGAGAGUAUGACACGUUUGUCUUGUAAACGCCACGUAUAGUGGAUGCAUUCAAAAUUGUUACACGACGUACAAAUUGUGAUUGGUGUUACCGAGGGAUAUAAUUGACCUUUUUUUUCCUCUCUCUCUUUUUUUUUUCAUUGGCACAGUUGUGCUUUGCUUUUCUCUUCUUCAUUUUUCUUUUCUCGCAUAAUUUUUGUACAUAUAGAAUUAAAAAAUACGAUUCUGCGAUGUUUUUAUAUCUCUUACACGUUGAAAUGAUUUUAGUUUUUAUUUAUAAUGAAAAUAUAAUAAGACUACUAUACAAUUGAAGCCUGAAGAUGUGGUAUUGCUGAUAUACUGUCGUGCCGAGUCAAGAAUCAGUAAUUGACUAAAAAAAAAAAACUAAUUAAUGAGAACUGUUUCAUCAAAAACAGAUUUUGGAAAAAAAAAACAGAGAAAAUUAUAAGCUAGCUUAUUAUUUUAAAAAGGGAAAAUGUACCAUGAUUAGACACGUACAUUCUAUUAUCUUCAAAUUUAUUUUAUAAAUAAUUUUUUAUUUCUUUUUUAUUUAUAUGACAUUUUAUAGACCUAGUAUGUGUUGAUAAUUUUUCAAUUCUGAUGCUACGUAAAUCAAAAAAGAAUAAAAAGUUAUUUAUAAAAUAAAUUUAAAAAAGUAAUAAAACCUUAACAAAUAUAUUUCUAAAAAUUUGAAUAUAAAUUAAAAGAUAUUUACGUAUUUUCCUUUUUUAAAAUUAAAGAAAAGCGAGAACGAUAUAACACUAAAUAGAGUUUAUCUUAUUGUUAAGCUUUUAACUUCCAAGAACUUCAAGAGUUUGGGCUUUUUUAAUUAUUAACUUGCUUAGUACUCUUUAUUAUUAAUUAUUUAUUCAUUUUUAAUUAACAUAUUUAUUAAAAUCGAUAUUAUUUUAAUUUUAUUAAUUAUAAAGUGAACGAAUUAAAAAACUUUUAUCAGCAUUUAUAUCUUACGAAAUAAGUGUACAUCCAGAUUGAGAUUUAUCAUACAUCAAAAACGUAUAUCAAACUUAUCAUAUAUAUAUAUAUAUAUAUAUAUGAAGUGGAUGAAUUAAAACUUUUUUAUCAGCAUUUAUAUCUUACGAAAUAAGUGUACAUCCGGAUUGAGAUUCAUCAUACAUCAAAUAUAUAUAUAUAUAUAUAUUAUUUUAUUAUUAUUUUUUUGUUUUUUUAUUUUUAAAAAAAGAGCUAAAACCCUCCACUCGGGCUUUACAAUUGUGCAUGACACUGUCUUGAGAUUUGAAUAUUGUGUGAAACUUAUUCUGGCUAUCAUUCAUACUAAGGCAUAGUGGUUUGCAAAAGUAAAGCUAGCUAGCUACUAAUUAAGUCCAUGGUACUUAACUAGUCAAAACUACAAAUAAAAAAGCUAAAAGAGAAAACGAUCAUUUUCAAGAGGGUUGUGGUUUCUUCUCAACAAUGGGUCUCCAAUUGACAUUCAAGCCUUUAUCUUCAUCCACAGGCUUUCCUCCUGCUUCUUUAGCCAAUUUCUUCUUAAGCUCUUUCUCAUCUUCCACCACAGUUUCCUCUUGAACAUUCUCUGGAUCUAUAUUUCCCACCACUUUUUCUUUCAACUCUUCAGCAGUAUCCUCGAUAGCUUUCCACGCAUCUUGAGUUGUUUUAGUAGCUUUAUCCUUCACCUCCUUCGCUUUAUCAGCCAUUUCAGAUACUUUACCACCCGUUUCAUCACUAUCGGUCCCGUACAGCUUCCUGCUCUGUUUUUCCGAUGGCUCCUCUGUUGCAGCAACAUAUCCUCCCUUUAAUACAUGAGUAGUAUUCUAAGCAUGUUUAGUUUCAUGCCACAAAACAAUAAUUUAAAUAUUUUUUAUGAUUAAAUGUGGAUUCAAUUAUUAAUGUAUGUAAUAUUUGAUAAAUUUCAAAUUCUAGGUGGAUUUAUGGCUUGUUCAUUAUAUUUAGUGGUACAUCUAGUAUUUAUGUAGGAAGACUCACCUUCCAUAUUUGACGACCGAUGAAGACAGUGGAGGCUCGAUGUGGGAAGGCUUUAGAGAGGUUGAAGAUUGAUUUUUUGCUUAACGAUGCCAUUGAUGCUUCCUUUCCAACACUUUUUCUUUUUGGUUAAUGAAAUGAAAACUCAACAUGAUUUUCAAGGUUUUAAUUAACUCUUUUUCGUCACACUUUUCUUGAGAAUUUGGUUUACAUAAAGGAAGGGGGUUGGGGUUUCUUGAGAGUGACACGUUUAGAGGUUUAUGUGCCACUUAAUUGCUACUGCUGGACACGUGUACAGGGUGCCCCCAUGUUAAUUUAAAGAUCACAUCAGUGGAACGAAAUGAUAACUAUCCGAUUAUAUCAUCAUAUUUAGCAUGAUUUUAUUUAAAAGAUGGAACAGACUGUUAAAAUGUGCUAAAAAUGGUCUUUUUUGGUACUAUAUGGAUGAUGUUUGAAACAAUAGAAUAACUAAAUGGAUGAACAGUUCUAAUAUGUAAUGUGAAAUUGGUCCAGGCUGAGAAGUAGACAACUAGUGUUAAAUUAUGAAUUUAUAGAAGAAAGAACCUGUUUGAGAAGGCUGCAUUUUGAAAUUUACAUAAUUAACAAAUAAUCACUUGCAGAAAAAUUAAAUGGUACAUCUGCAGCUAUCCCAGUUGAAACAUUUUUUUUUCUACAAAAAUCUUAAAAGAUACAAAUCGAAGCAACAGGAAGAAAGGAAGGUCUUCAUUUCCAGAGUUCUUCCAUAGGAAUGCCACGUUCUUGAGCAACUUCACUGAAUUGCCUCAUCUGCUGAACAGCAACAACAGUGGCUCUUGCAUUGUUGAGGGCAUUGUUACUUCCAAGCUGCUUACCCAAAGCAUUCUCAACACCAGCCAUUUCAAGAACGAUCCGCACAGCACCACCAGCAAUCACUCCAGUACCAGGGGCUGCUGGUCUAAGCAUCACCCUUGCUGCUCCAAAGUCUCCCUCAGAUCUGCAAUUUAGUUGUUCAUAAAUGUUAGAUCCCCAACUUAUAUACCAAUAUCAACAUGAUUCUUCUUUUUUGGACAAUGGUGGUGUCCCCGCCAACUUGCAGACUAUUCAUCAGCUAUCUUAAACUAAUACACGUGCAUACGAGUAACUCUACCCACUAAAACUUAAAUAGAUAUAAAGAAAUCUUCUAAAGUUUUUUUCUCUACUGAAAUUUGAAUAUCAUCCACUUCAUUGGUACUAAUUCUUUCACAAUGAGCUGCAUAAUUCAAUCAAUUUUUUUUGCAACUACAGUCUAAAUACAUGGCAAGGCAAAUGCUAAAAGAAGAUCUCCUCAAGGCAAGAUGUGGUAAAUCCUUUAGACGAAUCAAUUUUACUCAUCAAAAGGCUGCAAAUAUGUGCAUCCCUCUAGGACAACAGUAAAUUAAAGAGGAUCAAAAAAUACAAUGAUCUCACAUAAAUGUAUCCAUCCACUCCAGGCCUCUCAUUUCAUUCCUCCAGAUUUAGCAAUAGAGGAGCAAGGAUAACCAUGACAAGAAACUCAGAAAAAGACAUCAACAGCUAAUGAUGCAACCAGGGAAUCCUUUUUUACUUUUUCACUGCAUAUCCUUUCUUAAAGUUGAAGAGGAGGAGAAGCAAUCAUUUUUAUGACUUUUCACAUAUUUUGGACUCAGAUAGAUGAAAUAGUGGACAUGUACAUUAUGUCACCUAUUAAUUCAAUGAAAACAAACACAGAGACCAAUAACACACACUUGUGCACAUCUCAUUUUUUGACACAGAGUCAACAACAUGAGAGGUUUGUCAUAAUACAAAGACGUAAAAUUAAAUUUCAAAUGCUUAAGAUAGAGCUUAUCAAGCAUUCCAGUCUGUACCUCAUGGGUGUUGUCUAGCGGUACUGAAGUGGGUGAACAUCAUGGGACACCAAGGUCAAUUCCUACCCAUGGUUGAGGUGUGCACGAAUUGGCUUAAUAUAUGAAAGGAGUAGAGGCGGCGAGAUUCCAAAAGUGUUCCCAGGUAAAUAGAAAUUUUAUAUUUGCUUGUCUUAGGCUCAGUCCAUAAAAGGAAAGGUCAAACCACAUAAAGGAAGUUUUUGAAUAGAGAUCAAUCAAGUAUAUCCAUUACAAGAACCAUAUACAACUGAUCUAGAAGAUUCUUUGUAAUUAUAUUUAUUGGUUAAGUUUAAGGUAAAGAGGCACAACUAAAAUGGGUGACUUUUUCUGAGCGAAAAUCUGUGAUCAUGCCAACUUCUGGUUGCACAAGAAAACCAUGGCACAAUGAAAAACCUAUGCAAAAAUUAUUCAAAAGAAGAAGAAUAAAGAAUUAUCCAGCAUCAUUAAUAUAUGGAAAUGGAACUACUCUACUUCUUUUUCACUGAAUAAUCAGUCUUUUUGCAUCUUCGAGCGACAUACAUAAUGUCAUCUCCCCUUACACCUCUAUCCUUCUUCACCUUACUAGGAUUGGUUCACCACAGGAUUCAAACUUGUCCGCACUAUACUACCUUUGACGAAGAAGAAGAAGAAUAAAGAACUAUCCAGCAUCAUCGAUAUAUGAUAGCAGAACUACUCUACUUUUUCUUUUAACUGAAUAAUCAGUCGUUUUGCAUCUUUGAGCGCAUAGAUAAUGUCCUCUCCCCUCUAUCCUUUCUUCACCUUACUAUGAUUGGUUCACCACAGGACUCAAACUUGUCGGCACUAUACUACCUUUGCCAUAUCGCUAUACGAAGUACAACGACUCUAGCAACAGUUUGAUCCUAAGAAACAAAUCAAAUGGCAAAGGUAACAGAUAACUGAUCAGCCAUAACCUCAACCUUAGAGGAGUGAACUUUCAUAGCUUUUGCAGCCUUAUUAAAUUGAACAAAUGCAUAAAAUGGACCUCAAUUCUCAUAAUUUUUAAUGACAUUAGAGGUCUGCAAUUCCUGCACCUCAACUAAUUCAUAAGUACCUGCUACAGUCCACAAAAAAAAAUUCCAGUAACUAUGCUAGGUAGGCAAGAGCAGAAGGACUCGCACUGAGUGAUAUAAUUGGUAUUCUCUAUGUUAUUACUCUUAAUUAUUAACCAUAAGAAGUAGCUGAGAGACCCGGAAAAAUGUAGAGACAAUUCCUGCCUGUACCACUAAGACUAAAUGAUUUGGUGGUUAAAUACAUUGACUAGACAAUUUUGGCAUUUCUGGUUCUACAGUGAUGAUCAGAGUCUACAAACCAAAAUUCGCACCAUGUAGCUCAAUUUAUAGAUUUUCAAGCAUCCAAACUAGCUGAGAACUACACAAAUGUCCUACAUUAAUGCCAAAACUUAACUAGAGAAAGCACAUAGCAGAAAAUGAGAACAUCACACAAUUAACCAUUUACCUGUGGGGGAAAGUUAAGUACUUAGUCAUAGGCACAGUAAUGAGAUUCCUCCUGGCAUUAACAGCAGACUUUUGCACUGCAGCAAUAACCUCUUUAGCUUUACCAACUCCAACACCUACUUGCCCUUUUUUAUCACCCACAACCACAACAGCCCUAAAAUGCAAUUGCUUUCCACCUUUAACAACCUUAGUAACUCUCCUAACUUGCACCACUCUCUCGUCAAACCCAUCUUUGGCCUUCUCCUUCUUGGUUUUCCCAAACGAGGUAGUCUUUUUCACCUUAGAAUCCAUUGCAUAUAUGUCAUUCCCAAGAAAAGUCUCUCCGCUAUAAGCAGCCCCAUAAAGCUCUUCAUACGCUUUUGCAAUUUCUUCUUCAGACUCCAUUGGACCGUCAUCGAAAGAUGCUGGUUCUAUAAAGUCUUCAGGACGCUCUGGAGGGUCAUAAGUGGAGAUCUCCUCUGGGUCUGUGUUGUCAAAGAAAGUGGUUUCAGCAGUUGUAGAAUUUGGUUUAAUGGGGUCGAAUUUUGUUGGGUUUAAGAGGAGAUGAAAUGGUGACUGGAUGGUUUUUGGGAUGAAGAAUGUAUGGUGGGGUUGGGAUUGAAAAGGAGAAAAGCGAGAUGGGGCGCGUAGAGAGAGAGAAGAGAAGGUGGAGAGAGAAGACGCUGCCAUUGUUGUUUUGUAUCAAUGGCGAAGUAGAGAGGAAGAAAAUGUAGAGAGUGUAAUCUUAUCCUUUGGAUAAAGAAGGAACAUGGGCCGAGUUGGGCCUAAUUUUGGGCCUCCUAUCAUGAAUGUAAACUUGUAAACCCGCUCGGAAAAAACUUAUCUGCACUGGGUGUUUACAUCCAAUUAAUGCAAGCUCCAUUAUUAUGUAAUUUAAUAAAGUAAAACACAUGUUAAUUAAUUAAGAUUAAUUAAAAUGAAUUAUAAAUUUAACACAUGACAUGCAUGUAUUGAAUUGAUGUAAAUUAUAUACGAAAUAUCAAUUAUACUUGGCAAGCUUGAUAGAUUUAUAUAACGAGCUUGUACAGUAGCUCACAAACCACACAUCAAAUAUAAAUUACAUUAUGAAAGUUUAGUAGACUGAAAAGGCCUUUGAGGGGAAAUAGUUCCUGAUAUUUCUCUAUAGAAUACUACAUGUUGCAUUAACUUCAAUCACCCGUAAGAGUAGACGUAUUUGAAUGAGUUCUUUACUUAAGGCUAACAUUUGAGUCUUAUUUGAAGGUAGGUCACUCAAAUUCUUUUUGUAGAGUAUGACUCUAAAUUACUGUUAAUUUUACAAGUCUCCAAAGUUUCUUAGUCUGUACCUCCCCUUCCUCUUUUCCUCCUGCACGUCUCUGUCUCUAGUUUCUGCACUAAAUACAAUGAGCUGUGGAAACUAUACUUCACGAUGAGUCGAUGACGGCACUCCUGGAAGAAAAACGCAUCGAAAAGGCAUGACACCAAUGAUACAUGGAAAUUAUACUUCACAACUUGAGGAAUUGUAAUUUUUUUUGACAAUAUCACGAAUAGUUGGCCAACAAUCAAAUGAACAGAACGCUGAGAUUAAUGCAUCAGAAGGAAACUGACAAUUCAGGGACUUGACACCAAUCUAAUCAUUCAGGAGAAAAGCAAUCAUGAAUAACAAAAGGUAGCAGGAGAUCUAUGAAAGUUUUGUGGCUUAACAAGAACAAGGAGGUUUAGUCACUGAUACAGCCUUGCAUUCAUACAUUUAGUUAAGUAUCAACUUCCAAAUGAUAAAAUAGAGCAGAAAAGUUUGAAAGAAAUGUCGAAAGUUGGUGUCUGAUACAGCCUUUCGAAUAACUCAUUAUUCAAAUAGUGAUGUAAUUUUGAUAAGAGAAUGAAGAAGGUGGCUGUUGUAUCUUGAUCCACAAAGAAGCAUCAGGUCCAUAUCUUGAUCCACUGGUCAUGGCUCACUGAAGCUAUGGUUCCACCCAAAGGUGAACCUGCUAGUGAAGUAAUUAUAUCAGUAUGUGCACUAUAUGACUGAGUUGUGCUGCUCUGGUAGAAAGGAUUCCACAGCUCUAGGAACUGCAACAACAUUAGACAGGUAUAAGACGGAAAAAGAGAAAGCAAAUCAACGACUAUACAUAUGAAUAAACUUCAAACAUGUAAGCUUUCAUCUGACACACCAAUAACUCCAUUAGGAGAUCUUAUAUUCAUGAAUUUCCCUCAACGAAGAAGUUUCAAGCGCCGUGGAAUGAUCAGACACAAGUAGGAAAGCCAAAAAUGUUCAGAUGAAAUCAAAAUAUGCAAUUAUCAUUUUCUUUAUUGAGACGAAAAUAUAGCAAAAUAAUCAGAAGCAAACCUCAUAUCAAUCUGAGCAUUUUGAGACAUUAUACGGGCAAUAGAACCCAAAAUCGCAGACUUCGCAUAUUCUUACCCUCCUAAUGUUCUUUUUCCAGCUCUUAGAUUUGGCUGACCAAGAGAGAAGUUCUUUGUUUUUGUUUUUGUUUUUCUUUUUCAGGAUUGUUCAAUAUCCAAGCAUCUUAAGUUAGGUUUGUUGUUUUUAAAUUCUAUGAGCUCAAAAACCUCAGCAUAAAUGACCACAUUGUAUUAACCAUACCUCAAAGGAACCAAUCACCAACACUUGAACGUGCCCUGGGUGAAAAGUGCAUGACUGGAACUUAUUGCCACCAGAGCACAAUUCAUAUAAACACUUCCCAUCACUAACAGACCAUAUCCGUGCACUAUCUUCACUCACGGAUGCCAGGUAUCUCCCAGUCACAUGCCAGCAGAUUGAGCGGAUGUCUUUGACAUGUCCCUAUAAAUCGAAGGAAACGAAACCACAUUGAUAAAAUAUGGUAAUGCAACAGAAAAGAAAUUUUGAAACAAGUUUGAUCAAUGAUCAAGAAUGAGUAUCUUACUAGUAACUUUUUUUGAAUGCUGCUAGUUUCGACAUCAAAAAUAUUUACAACAUUUCCACUAGAACUUGCCAAAAAGUCCCCACGUUGAGGUUGAAAUCUAACGUGUCUACUACCUCCCUGCAUUUGUACCAAGAACUAAUCAAACAAUUUUGCAGUGAAUGAUAAUAGCAAGUUCUUUGUAACCCACUCUGUUUAGAACAGUGAACAAUGCAUUGUUGAAUGUGAUAUGGAUGUUGGUUCAUAUAAGAUUAUGAAAAUCCUUUUAUUUCCUCAACUAUGUAUUUGUAUGUCUAUUCACACAACUUGUAUGGACUUCUUUGUCCCCAGACCCUUUUUAGAGUUUUGCCAUCGGAACUCGGCCUUCUAAAUCACAAUGAUGACCAACCUGGUCUUGAAAACCUUGAAUUUUCUCAGAAUGAAGAAGAAAAAAUAAAGAGAAACAUUUCCCACAAUAAAAUGCAGGAAGUCAUGAAAAAGAAGAUUCAAGAAUGAUUUAGAAUCAAGUAAUUAAGUAAUCUCCAAAUUGAAAUGGAAGCAUAAAAGGAAGUUAAAUAUCAAAUUAUGGAGCCUUUUUAUCAAAUAGAGAAACCUCUUUAUAAAUAUCUUUAAAAAAAGAAAGGAACUAGAGCCACCAACCUUAAAAAUGAGGUCGCAUUCACCCCUACUGACAUCCCACAGUCUAAUGUCGUUGCUGGUAUCACAAGAACUGAGGAGGCCCAACUUUGUUGGAUGAAAAUCCGUAGACAUUACGUGCUCAACAUGCCCGACAAGGUUUUGGAAAGGGUUGCUUGGCUGGAUAAUGACAAAAUGGUGAGAUAUGUACAGUAUCAAAGUUGUAAUAACUAAUAGACACAGGUCAAAAAGUACCAAUUCAAGAGAUUAAGUCAGUUUUUGAGAAAUCCUGAUAACCAGAAGAAAAGACAAAAGGUUCUGAAGGUCUAAAGACUUCAUAAGAUGUAUUAGUAACAGCAAGUCCUCAAAUAUCGACUCAAAUGAAAUGUAUUAUAGAUAACAUAACAUGAUGAUGCUGAUAUUUGGUAUAAUUGCGAUAAAUCUUUUGAGUAUCCUUACUACAGAGAGAAAGAAUGUUGGCCAUAAAUGUCACGUUACAAUUGUCUGAGCAGCUAAGAAAAUAUAUAUGUUCACGUUUAAGUACAAGCAAAAGAAUCAGGAUAAUAUCAGCACAAAAAUCAGAAGAAAUAAUGUGGACCAAGAACAACGAAAUCAUAGAACUGAUAAAUAUAUAUCCUGGUGAUUGGACUCUCUGCUGACUGCUACUUGUGAGCUGUUACAACUUAAGAGAAGAGUAACUGAAAGAGUCAUUCGACCAAAGAUCUGCAAUGACAAAUAGAGCUAGUACCUUGGCUGCAUCCCAUAUCUUCACAGUUCUGUCAAAGGAAGAUGUUGCAAACACUGUUGAGUGUGGUCUAAAACGGACAUCUGUAACGUGGUGAGCAUGACCUUCUCCACUAUAAACAUUGUUAGUUCUCAACUUCCAAAUCAGUACCUAAGCAUAAAUUGCGUACAAGUUUGUUAACAGGAGAAAUUGAGAUAAGGGCUCGCCUAUUCGACCAACUAGAAUCCUGUUGAAGAUUAAUUAGACAAACCUUCUUGUCGUGUCCAGCAGCAGCCAACAACUCUCCUUCUGAAUCGAAGUGGCAACAUAGGAGCUUGCUAGUGUUUGUGUGAAGGUUGCUAAUCGCUUUCAAUGAAUUGCCUGCAUAGCAAAAUGAAGUCAAUUAUCCUUUAUGCCGAUAUGAGAUAACUAGCAAUUUAUCCAUCAGGGUAAGAGCCUGACAAAGUCAGAAGCUACAGUGUUUAAUCUCAAAACCUUGGUGGGACAUCACAUUCUUGUCUUCUUUCAUUUUAAAAAAGAGUUAUACUGAACAAAUGUAAGAUCUGGCAAAUUUUUACGAGAGAAGCUUACAGACAAUACCAUCUAUUUGUCACCGUGAGAAGCUGACAAACACUACUUGCUUUUAGGAAAAGAGGUUUAUCACAAAGAACAAUAUCAUAUAUCAAAGGUCAACCAUAUACCAUCAUAUAUGUGCUAUGAAGCUUCCAAUACAGUACCUAAAACACUACUGGCACCUGGAAGAAUGAAUCAGGGUAUAAUGCUAAUAAACCUGCACCAUUGGGUUCUCUUGGACAAUUUAUUUCUUCAACAUAUUAGGAUUAGACACAACCUAGAUGGGCGAGUAUAGAACCUAACAAAAUGGGACACCAGUUGUCUAAGGAUUAACUAUUUCUGUCAACCAUCAAUAAUAUAAAUUGCAACCUUCUUAAUAUUAAUCUUCUUAGGGACCAUUAAGGUUGUUGUCACCUACCUUCCCGUUCAGCUUGAGUGCGUGCAGGCGCAGCAAAACUAGCGACAGGAGUUUUCUCUUUCCCAACCUACAACUCAGGAAUAUAUAAAUGAGCCAGGAAUAAAAGCAGAUGAAGAACAUAUAGACAUUUCAUACGCAAGCGUCCAAGUGAAUAUAAUGGUGAAAAGAUGAUGAUGUCUAUCAGUGACGAGUGAAAUAGAAUCACCAGCACAUGAAGGGCAUAAGAAGUAGAUGCAGAAGAAUGAUCUUACAGGUUCCAGAGAAUUCAAUGGAGUUUUCCUCUUUGUGCCACUCUGAUACAGAACGCAUGUAAGAAAUUAGAAGCCAAAUAAGGGCGUAGACAUGUUUCCUCAAUUCUGGUACAGCUAAAAGAAAUUUGAAGACAUUCAAAUAAGCCAGAUACUUGUGACAGCCUUUAUGAUCUAAGACCAACCUUAUUUGGAUACUGCAGUCCCAGCUGGUUUCUGUGCUCCUGCACUACAGGUUGCUUUCCGAACCUUCUCAUAAUUCCUCCUAUUUGCUGGUCAGCUGGUGAAUUCUCUGGGAUUCUUAGAUUUGUCUCACCAAGCAUCUGUUCACCAGAAGAAGAAGAAGAAGAAGAAAAAGUAAGGCAGGAAAGAAACCUCAAUCACAUCAGUUUAGUAGGAUAACCCUAAGUUUCUCGGACUCGGGUGGGUAUCUAGAAGUCGGAUCCUUCAUGAUUUUAUUUUUAAGAUUCAGGGACAUGGAUCCAUGUGAUGGAUACAGGUGGGGGGAUUUGCCUAAAAAUAAUUAAAAUAUGAUAUUAUGUGGAGAACUUUGAGGAGAAUCCUGGAAGGAUAUUAAAGAAAAAAGAGUCGCAUAAAAAUUUAUAUAUAAAAUGUAUUCCAUUUUCUUCAAUUUCACCUUAGCUUUUGUAUUGAUCACAGAAAUCAUUAAAAUUGUCCAGACUUUCCCCAUUGAUUUUGGUCAAAGUACCCAAAAUCAGUUGACUAAAUCGGAUACGGAUCCCACACACAUACCCACGUUGUGUCGACACGGGUGCGGCACCAAAAGUAAAGAGUCCGAGCAACUUAGGGAUUGCCUAUUUUUGGCCCUAAAAAUGUUGAUUGUUGGACUAUGCAAAAACUUCGAUUUUUUUUGUUGCAGUUUUCUUUCUGCUACAUAGGUUACUCCUUUUAAAGUUGAGUUUUUAACGUAUGUUACCUUAUUUGACUAUUAAUAACUUAAUAUACAAGGUCUUACACUGUGAUUUCGAAGGCCAAAAAAAUCUGAAAACCAAUGGAUGGUCUAUUGCACGGCUAAAAUAAUUGCAGCAUGAUACAACCCUAGGAGCAGGAUGGUUACUUCAGUAUUCAACUUACCCCUGCAUCUUUUACACUUGAGUCAGCUAGAGUGAGCAUAGGAAAAAGAUCUCCAGAACAUGCAGGGGCAGGAAGUCUGAGCUUAUCCCAUGUUUGAACUGCCAUGCUUGGUAAAACAUUCUGUUGAGCGAAGAAUGUACUUAUCGGGAACUGUUCCUUUCGAGUUGGCACUAUCACACUGGGAUGCACAACUUGAUGGCUAAUGACGCGGGGAACUGAGCCAACGUCCUGGGUUAAAUAUGAAAGGAAUGAAUUAACUUAAAGUUGACGGAACCUAAACAUCAUAAUGGACUAAACAUUUCUAUUGAUGCAAAAGUUUAGGGUACUCACAAUAGAUGGCCAUCCUCGAUGAGAUGCUUGUUGGAGAGAUCUGUUGUUCCCUGCAUGUACAAUGCAAAAAGAAGAUCAAAAGGAAAUCUGACGGAACAUUGUACAAUAUAUCAACAACGACUAAGCCUCAAUUCCGAGCUACUUGGUCACAUUGUACAAUUAAUCGUUAAGAAGAAUUAAAAUUUCCUGUAUAUGAUCACUGCAAGCACUUCUCAUGGUGAUUAUUCUGAAGAGAACAUGUAAUGAAGAGCACCCAUCACACUGACUAUUUUGCUUUGCUGAAUCUAAGUUUUGAAGAUAGAUUGUUUAUUUCAUAAUCCUUCCAUGUUAGUUUGCCUAGUGUCUUUUGCUGUGACAACUUCCAAUUGAUAAUGUAUCAACCUUCAAAAUGAAACUGGAACUAACUAGAACUAAGAAUCCACAAUAAUUAAAUGUUGCUCAGCAAGUGAACGGAAAUUAAUUGCACAUACAGUAUCAUCGUCAAAAACCAAAAGAUGCAAAGGGGAAGUGCAUUGUAUCGAAGUUCUAUUUUCAGAACUUUACUGAAUGCUUCUGCCACAUACUUCCUUUGGUGGAUCGUAUACCUAAGCUGUCAUAUGUUCAUCCUUUUCUUACUUCAAUCAGCAACAUGGAUCUUUACCAAAAUGGGGAAGUGUCUCAGAUAUAUUCAUAGUUGUAAAGAUUUUAACAAAGGUAAUCUCCCAUUGGCAUAAUCACAAAGCGAAUGGGAAUCAACUAUAGAUAUUACAGGUGUAGUUUGAUCAAGCCGGGCUCAGCUGUUCAUCCUUGAGCUAUAUUAUAAAGUUGAGCCCAAACUCAAGCUCAGAUAUCAAACUGGCUUCAAAUUGGAGCAGAGCUCAAUUCGAAUAUACGUAGACAAGUUCAAGAACGACUCGAUAUAGUAACAAGUGAAUUAACAACCUUGAACUUGAGUUCAAGCCCAAACUAAAACUCACAUGCACAUAUAGAUGUAGUAUAAUAAAUUUAUACCUUUAGAUCAAAUUAGGAACUAUUUUCAUCUUUAAUAAAUAUGUAACGAUUUUUGUUUGCUAUAAGUGUAAUACUAAAGAUAACUCUUAAGGUUGAGCGAGUAGAGUUAUGUCAAAACAAUUAUUUUCGAGAUAUGAGUAGGCCUUAAGGCUACACACACCAAAAUUGUUAAAUAAACAGGCAUAUGUACUUAUUAGUUGGAUAACUAAGUAUUUUUUGAUAACUAAUUAACAAGAGCCACCUUUGACCCAUGCGAGUUGCAUUUAUAAAUCUAUAUCACAUGUCAUUUCCACCAGAAGUGGUGCUUACGUGGCCUGGCUGGGUUUGGAAGAGAAUCACAUAGAAAGAACUACCAUUCAAGAAUCUUUUUUCCAUGUUGGCUCUACGUGAGGCCUAUUAAAGGCUAAAAUGACAGUCAUCAAUCCUCCAUAUUCAUUCCUUUCCUUUGAUCUGAAUUCGAACAAUGGCAAUUUAAGGAUGUACCGAGGUCCCUCUUCUUUGAAGAGGUUAAACAUCCUUACUUGUCUCGUAUUGAGCAAGCAGGUGCCGCACAUGUGAUAUGGAAGCACUAGCUUAAAGAAUCAUAGUGAAAAUCGUACUAGUGAUCGUCGUAUUGGGCUAGUGUUUAUAAUCCAAGUAUGUGAUCACAAUUAAGAAACUCAUUUAUAAGCUUACGCUAGUUAAAGAAUAAAUGAUUAAGUUCUCACCACAAAUAGUCCAGGUAAUAGUCAUAUCAAGGUAGCAUGACUCACCAAUAUAUCAUUCUAAACUAGUGUUUGUCCACAUACUCCCAAAUAUUUUUGACAAAUAUUAUUUGGGUGAAAUUUCACCAUGUGUUUGACCAUAAUAUUUUUGAUGACAUGUUUUUGGCCAUAAUAUUUGGGAAACAUAUUUCACAUAUGUCACUUUUACAAAACUAACUGUAGGUUUGUAUUAUACAGCAAGACAGAAACGUUGACAACAAGAUCCAUGAAUUCCACAACAAGUCAAUUGGAUAAUCAUAGCAACAAAUAGCAAGUAAUGUCCAUGAUACUAGAGUAAUGUGGUAGUUUCGAGUGAGUGCGACAAACAUCAUGCUAUACAUUGUGAAGUAGACAAAGCACAUGAUUUUAUUACCCUGAGCCGAUUGUUUGUCAUUUUCAACAACCAUAUCAUCACAUUCAUGAUGUUCACGUCAAAAGUUAUGUAAUACAGUGCAAACAACUACCAUAAAUAGUGUUGUAAAAGUUAAAAGUUUGGUGUAGAAUUUGAUUUUUUAAAAGCUAUAAAAUAAUGAGAUUUGGCUCAAAUACUAUUUUUUCUAUUAUUAGGGAAUUUAGGUUUUUUGCCGAAAAUAUAACAAAUUAUAUGAACAAACACUAUUUGUCAAAUUUUUUUCAAAAUUUCACUUGGGAAAUCUAUGGCCAAACGGGUCCUAAGUGACAACUUACCAAAUGAUCAUUCUGGAGCAACACUAUUGAUAGCAUCUAUGUUGGCCUACUUGCAUUAAAGUUGACGGGCUUCAAUGAGAGAUCAAGAAGGUAUGUAUCAUGGAAGAGAAGCCCAAGAAUGAUGAUGAAAAGUGGGUUAAGUGCUACACGAUUUCAUAUCAAGUCCAAGUCUAAGUCCAAAAGGGGGAAAAUUGGGGCUACAUGGAGCCCAAGAGAACCCACAUGGACUCCAAAAGAAGCCCAAAGAGAAGCUUAUUUGCAUGCUGAAAGUGCAGAAUGUUUUUAAGGCCAAAAGAUACUGAAGUUGCAUGCCAAAAAGUGUUGAAGUCACUUGGGAGUUUUGGUGGAAAUUUAUCAUUUCUUUCCUUUUUCUUGACAACUAAUUUUUUACAUGUUCUCCUAGUUUAAAGUUUCCUAAUUAUUAUUUCCAUAAAAGUAGGAUUUGAAUAUUAUGCUAUUUGAGAUAUGUUUGUGAGUUUGUCUUAUCUAUAGGGGUGAUUUGUUAUCUUUAUUAGACACGAUUAAUAUUAUUUGAGAGGUUUUCCUUCUUUACACCUUUGUGUGUGGUAACUAUGGAUUUACCUUCCAACCAUAUAAGAACGAUUAUACAAGAGGUUAGAUUAAUUCCUAACUUGAUAUCUUCGAUUUCUAUUAAAAAUAAAUUAAAAAAGACAAUUAGUCUUUUACUAAUUGUUGUUUCUAAUUUCUUCGAAUAAGAGCUAACCUAAACCAUAACUCCUUUGUCUCACUAAAAAUGACUUUGUUCAUAUAUGCUUCAGUUGAUUCUCAUUAUAAACUCUUUUACAAGCAAGGACUACUUGUAGGAAUAUACUUCUUUGUCAGCUCUAACCUCAAAAUAUUCCAAACACGCACAAGUGUAAAGAGGGAAACCUUCUAUUCUAUACUCCAAGAUUAGUAUAUGAUAUAAAACGCUCCGACGUACAAACUUUCUCUCCUCCAGAAAACCCCAUCCCCCCACACACACACAAAAAAAAAAACUAUUCCAAGCCACACUAUCGCUUGCAUGAGUUGCAUUCCAAGUUAGGAUUCCUAGCGAGAAAAGUUCUAUACGCACAUUCAAACAUAUUGACGUGCAUACCAUCUCAUCUACAAACAUAAGCGGUUUGAGAGAGCAUACUUUCAUUUUAUUUUAUUUUUAAGACAACAUACUUUCAUUUACUUAAUUAUAUUCUCAACACUCUCCCUCAUGUGUGGGUCUAAUUCUUUUUUUUUUUGGUCAAGCACGUGAAAAUUCUUCAUGACGAUAGGCUGCGGCUAGGACGGUCAUAGGCUUCGAUGUCAUGUUGAAGUGUGUGACUAUCUCAUCUAAAAGCUUAAGUUUUCAUAAAGAGCAUAGUUUAUCUGCUUAAUUAUAUUCUCAACAAAGUUGAUGCAACUGCAUGAUUUUGUUCGAAAGUAGAUAGUGUGGUUAGUAAAACAAAGAUACUUGAGUAAUUACCACAUUAAAACUACUUGAAGAAGGUUAAAAGAAAAAACACUUUGAAAUGAUAAGAAGUAGAUGGAACGCCAUAUCACUUUAAAAACAAUAUGAAGCGUUGUAAACUUCGAUUUUUAAAGAACAAGAAACUUACUAUACAUGUAAGGCAACAAGUUCAAGGUCAUUUGGAACAAACUUAAGUAGAAAGUAGGCCCUUUUGAAUAGAACUAGUGUUGUAGAUUGAUGGUAAGAUCAACAAUCUUUUAAGAUGAAUGACAAAAUCCUAUGAAGCUAUGCAAUGACUACCGAUGUUCAGUAUCUCUUAGUUAUGAGCAAGGAGUUGACAUGUUGAGGAGGACACCUUGUGCUGCAUCUAACCAUUCAAAUUGCCCAUAAUGUGAUUCAUGCUAAAGAGCAUGAUAUGGAGAUUUGUGAACAAAAUUGUUGUGUCACAAGUCACCCAAAUGAAUAUCACAAGGGCGCGAUGUAUCAGUUUGUUUUAUGACCAUUUUCUUGAAAAUAUGAUCUUGGUCAAGCUUAUCACAAAUAACGCCACUUUGAAUCCAUUAUAUCUUUAUUGAUUCAAAAUUAUGGUUCUUACAAAAUUUGUAGCAGAAGACACAAUUACCUUUACGAUACAGAAUAACAUUUAAGCCUUUAUUGGCUGAGCAUAUUUAUUUAAGACUUGUGUAAGAGAAAAAUAUAAAAGGUUUCUGCUUUAGUAUGUAUUACAUUAAUUUUUCACUCUUACAAAAAUUUAAAAGGGGAAGACAGAAUUUCUCAUGGGAUGUCUGAGAAUUUCUCCAUACUGACAACUAGUAAAGUCGUAGACAUACUUAGAGCUUCUAAUUUGACCUUGGUGAAAUCAGAAGGACCUUGAUUAAAUGAUUACUGACCACUUGCAGACGAGUAAACUUUGAAAUAACUUACGUUGACUGGAAAAUACUUCAGAAUUUGUAGUACUUGAUCAAGGUUAGGGACAACAACUUUUAGACACUUUACGAUGGCUUCAAGCUGAGCUUCAUUAUCUGAGCUUGUUUGGAAGAGAGAUCAGCUACAUGACAAGGUAUGGACGGAUAUUGUGACAUGAGUUUCCUUUUGGAUCCUUUCUAGCUUAACAACAUAAAAGUCAGGUCCCAAGUUGAGAAAUCUUGUGAGGUAGCAGGGACACCGUAGAAUUAAUUGAGGUGCGCACAAGCUGGCCCGGACACCACCGUUAUAAAAAGAAGAUUUGGGAAGUCUUUGGCAGCUCUUAAACCAUUCUUGCUCCUCCUCUAUGAGAUAUCAUGAGACAAUGGGAAGGACCCUUAGAAGGUAAAGCUUCUCAUUUAGGUGGAUCCUACCCCUUUCUCUUUGCUGAUAAGGUCUUGCUGGUUCUUUACCACUGACUGACAGGCAGUGAAGUGACAAUAGAGCAGGUAUUUCUGUAAAAACUUCUGUAUGUAGUUUGACCUGUGUUUUCUGAGCUUAAAAUAGGGAAGACUGGUAAGUUUUAUGGAAUCCCAAGGGAACUGAAAUGUGAUCUAUUUCCCUUUUACCAACCAUUUAUAAGUUUCCUUCAUAUCCACCUUAAGAUAUCCAACAGGCCAACAAGGUAUUCCCCAUCCCCUGAAAAAUCAUUAUUCCAGUUUUCCCUUUCAACUAAACCUUGAAUCACAGAAACUUCCUCAAUGAUAUGCAUCCUGGUCCAUCACACAGCCAAUCCAAAAAGAUCUAAGAUAAAUCACUUACCCAAAUAAAUCUAUCUCAUCUGUUAAAGGUUACUUCAAGCCACAAUGGUCAAUUAUCCAUCCUAAUACGACUGUGAGGAAUCUUAGCCUAUAGAACUUCAACUAAGAGACUGGCCAUGCACUUCAUCAGCUUCAUCUUUUGUAUCAAGCAAUAUUACUAACCUUCUAAUAGAAUAUUCGUUACCUGAUAUAUAUCACAACUUGUGACUCUUCUACGUCCCUAUUUGGAUUUACCUUCAUAAUCUAUUAAGAAUACAUCAAGAGUUCAAUUUAAUUUAUUGUAUGACACAACAAGGAUAAAUUAAAUUGUCAGAAUAAAAGAACAUCAGCACUAUAGCUUCAAUCAUGCACCAUUCAUUCAUUCUAGAUGUAACUAUAGCCUCAAACUUAAUUAAGCUUCAUGCUCCUAUGUGAAUCCAACAAAUGUACCAUUACUUUAUGGGUAAAGGCUAGAUAGACAAAACAUCUAAAUGGUCACGGUACGUUUUGACCUGUGCACUGCAAUAGCAUUGCGUCCUUUUUCUACCAAUAGCUAAAGCAAUAACAACUUCUUGAAGAGAUUCUUCUCCUCCUUAUCAAAAGAAGAGCUUUUUCUCCCAACUCUCCAAUUUGAUUCACAAAAUAGCAACAAGCAUUUAAUAAUUUGGGGGAAAACAAUCACCAUCAUCGAGUACUCCUUUAAUACCUUUUGAAAUGUUCGUAUCAGAAGUUAUUCAACACAAUACACUCAGGGGGUACUCAUGGAUAAAGCUGGAAUUACACGAGCAUAUAAGGCUCACUCAGUAUAUCAAGAAGUAACAGAUUAUGUCUCUUCAUCCUUUUCAAGGAUAAUAGGUCACUCUCUCUUCGCACGACAUCCUUUCCUAAUUAUAGUAACUAACAAAGUAGCAAAUUUCUCAAAAUGUCAACAUCUUUAUUUGGAUGGAGAGUUUGAUGCAUUCAGAAGCAGUUGGUUGAAGAGCCUGAUAGCAAGAGCAGCAGAGUAUCUGUUAUUAGUUUCCUACUAAAACAGAGGAGUGUUUAAUUUGUACAGGAGGGACUGAUAGCUAAUUAGGAGAUUAGCAAAACCUAAUUGACAUUUUCAAUAUAUCAGAAAAAAUUGAACGAUUUUUAAUCUGAUUACAUAUGCAUCUCUUAAUUUGCUACACAUUAAAAGGUGAGACAGUCUUCUUCAAUAUAUGCACAUUUAUCCAUCUAAUGGAUUGUUUUAUACUAAAAGAUUUUGCAUAUUAUCAUAGUGUUCAAACAAUCAACAUUAUCAAUGCAAAAGACAAAAAUUAUACCAACUAAAUGCAAAACAUAAAAGCUAAACUACAAACAAACCUGCAUCAGAAAGUUCAGGUAAAUCAGGCAAAGCGCUUGUAGCCGCAUGAAGAUGUGGUUCCGUUCGCAUAGGUCCUCCCCAGUUUGCACCAAGUAUGUCAACCUGCAAAGAAUAAAAACUAGUCAAUUAUUUUCAACUAAUUAUUUUUUAUAAAUCUUGAAAAUGUACGGGGAAAUGUAAACGUACUCUCGCAUUCCACUCUGCGGGAACAGUUGGCAUUUGCUGCAUUUGAUAGCUGAAGGAUAUGGACAUACAACACAGAAAAUAUGAAGAUUCUGAUAAGAAAAUUACAUAAACAAAGAAAUGGUUCCAUAUACAAAAAAUAUUUGGACUAUCAAGAUAAUGUAAAAAAUCUUUCUCAUAUUACAGGCCAAACAAUUGGUUCUACUUAUUAGACUAACGAGCAUCCCUUAAUAGCCAAGUUUUGCAAGAAACUCUUCACAUUUCACAUAUCAGAAGGUCAUAAUUAAUAGCAUGACACAGUCGUGAUUUUGGUCAAUAUUCUAUUGUUGCCUUAGAAGCUUAAGGCAAUGAUAUCACAUCAAUUAAGUAAAACAAAACCCACAUCGCGUUAAAGGCUAUACCUUUAUCCUCGUCGAAGUAACUAGGCAGACGUUGUAUUAAAAUGAGGCAAAAAUAAACAGUUUAACAAUAAACAUAACAUGCUAUUUACCCAGCAUUGCUUGCCAAUGGAAGCAUGUCACCUAUUUCACUCAUCUCGGGUAAGUGUAAGCCUGAUGUCAUGUCCCUUGGAGGAGAUAAAUCCAGUGACAGAUAACUGGCAUCAAAAGAUGACAAUAAAGCUGAAAGGCUAGGGUCCAUAAGAUCAGGACUGCUGGAUUCUGGCAUCAUAGCAGAUAUGUUUGCACCUGUAAGAUCAGAAGCAUAUGAUUGAUUUGAAGGACAGUAAUCACCCACAACAUUGUCCACGCUUUGUGCGACCUGAGAAUUUAAAAUCAAACAUUUAGUUAGCAAUUAUUUCAUACCAGUUAAAGAUGAACGAACAGAGCAUAGAAAAGGUCCACAGGUAACACCUUAUCAAAGGAUUCAACAUCGAAGACAGGAAAGUCAGGAAACCUAGAACUGUAUGCUUCAUAAAAUUUACUCCACCACGCUUGCAGAAAUGCUUCAUGAGGAGAAUUUAUAGCUGAAACGAACCACAAAAUCAGAAAACAUUACACCAAGCUUGAUAGUGGAGGACAAUUAAUACAAUAAAAACAUCACAAAUUAUGUAAUUACAACGUAUUUACACAAUUAUCAAAAACAACAGUUUGACAAUCCACCAUAUGGUCAUAUGUAGCAACAAUUCUUUCAGGUAAACAACAAGCCAUUAUUAAAACACAUAUCUCAAUUCAUUAUAGAUUUGUUUUGAGCAUCUGAUUAAAAGAAUAAAAUUCAUUGAAAUCAGUUACUUACCGACAAGAUUUUGAUUAGCACGAAUUUCGUUGGAGAACGCCUCACCAGUCCGAUGGAAACCUCUUUUAGACAUAUAAUCGAGAAUGGCAAGUUCAAGCCUAAAAAAACACAAACAAAAAAGGGAAAACCAUGAUUAAGAACAGUCAACCAAAAGGAAAAAAUCACAUUCAACCAAAUCAAAGAAAAGUAGACAGGUAAAGGUUAUCGAGAGUAUCAAUCAUUAAAAAUGUAAGUAUAAAAAGAAACUGAGGACAGUAGAUUUUACUAUAAAUUAACUAGUGACCUAACACAUAAACUUACGAGCGUUGAGCCUCUAAACUGGCCAUGAUCAUCAAAAGCAAAGCCUUAAUUAAUCACAAAAAAAGGGAUAGAAAAAUUGGGCAAGAAAGAUUGGAAAGAGAAGAAAGAGUCUCAAAAAUCAAAAUUCACUUAGAUUACACAAAGAAGAACGCAGAGAGAGAGAGAGAGAAAGAGAGAGAGUUGAAUUUAGACAAUGAGAUUGUGGCAAUAAAAACAAAAUGUAUGAAAGUGUAGUAACUUGGUAAGUGACAUACCAUGCAAAAGUUAGAGAAAAUAAAAAAGAAAAUAUUUUCUUUUUGGUAUUUUAAUAUUUAAUAAUUAAUUAUUAAUUUUUUGAAAAUAUAUUUUGUUAAUUGGAUUCAAAAUAUAUCUUCAUUUUAUUUCUCUCAUUUUAAUUUAACCCUUUAACUUUUUUUAUUUUUAAACUUAUUACCCUUUUUUCUUUCUUUUUGUUAUUUUUGGUGUAAAGACUCUAUCUUUUGUAAUGCUGUCUCCAGGGUGGAGGGGUGGGGGGGGGGGUUGCGGGUGGGGGGUAGAAACUAAUUUUGUUGAUAACCAACCCAUAUAAUCACUGAAUUUUAUUUCUAUUUUAUCGAAAUUAUAGUAUCUGUUAAUGAAUGCACCAAUAUGUAUAAAGAUAAAAAUUUAUGAUUUACUUCUUAUAAUUACGCUUUAAUGAGUAAAUAAGUUCCUCAUUUUCUUUGUUAAACAUUUUCUUUAUCAUAGAAUUUUUGUUCUUUAUAAAUUCAUACGCAUUUCACUAGGUAUGUUAUUGUUAUAGUAAUAAGUUCUUAUGCAUUGUUUAUUCUAUUUUUUCAAAAAAAAAGAACAAAAUAUUUCUGUUGAGUUUUGUUCCUUUUCACUUUAUCAUUGAAAGUUGAGAUAAAGUACCUUGAGUUUUUUUUUCCUAGGAUAUUUUAACUUUUUUAUAGUAACAACAAAUGAAGAAAGAAAGAAACUUAAAUAAAGGUGUGAAUGAAUACAAGAAGCAAAGUCAAAACACAAGCCAAUUCUAAGAAGGAAUCAAAAGAGGCAAAUGAAAUUAAUUGUUUGUACAAGUGAGAGUUUUUUAGGUGACAAACAGACAACAGGCUUUACUACAACAGUUAACCUCCAAAGCUUCGAACCAUAAAAGGUGACGGUUAAAUUUAGUGAACCUUCUUAAAUUUGAGCUAGUUUAAUAGACUUUUUCUAAGUGGCACGGAUUCUUCACUUUCGAUCCAGCAACCAUGUUGGAUCCUACACAAAUACAUUAUGCUUGGAGAAUCCGCCACACAUCCAUUGACAUUUUUGAAGAGUCUGAGCAACAUAGGACUUUUUCACAAUUGGACAAAAACAAUAAUAUAUACCUAGUGUAAUCCCAUAAUUUUUCUCACAAUUGGACAACUAUUCAUUAAUUUCUGAAAAUGCCAUUUCUGUUUCUAAGCAAUUUCUACAUUGAAUUCCAUUUAAGAUGCUUAAAGCUCAUAAAUUCUCAACAAGAAACAACCCCCAUCUUUUAAAUUAUUUAGGACUAAAAAUUAACAGUAUAAAAGAUGAUUACAUCAUCAGUGUUUUAAUUUUGUAUGGAAGUAUUUACCAUCUUAUUAAGAUUACCAGCCUAUUUAUUAUAAGAAAAAGGGAAAAGGGACAAAUAUACCCCUUAACUUUUUGAAAUGGAGUCUUUUGUUAAAAAAGUGAUCUAUAUAUACCUUGUCUUUAACAAAUGAAACAUAUUUACCUUAUCGUUAAUAGACCUAUAUUUAUUGAAUUAAAAACCAAAUCCUAAAACUGGUUUUUUAGUUCCAAAAAUGUCGCAUGACUAUAACAAGUUAUCGCAACCAUUUUUAAUCCCUCCAAAUAUGACACAAAUGAAAAAAAAAUCAAUCCCUCUUCUAUUCAAUCAUCAAUCCGAUGACUUGAGACCUAGGACGCUUGUUCGACUAAACUAGAUCAUCAUCACGACUAUAUGGUGAUGACUACAUAACAGAGGGAUUGAGUUUUUUUUAGUUGGGUUGAGUUUGGAGAGGUAAAGAAAAUAGGUGAAAUAAUUUUUUUAAAGCCACGUGACAUUCUAUGGAAUUAAACAACUAGCACUACACCAAAAAUAAUCUUUAGCGCUAUAAGCUAAUGACUAUAGCUUAGUUGCCGCUAAAUAUGUUUCUCUUGAGACAAUUAACACACUUUGUAAAUGUCACUAAAGGUUACAGGGACAUUGUUUCCAAUGUCGAUAAAGACUUUAGCAUUCUCUAUUAAUGUGCAUAUUUGUUGCCGCGAAAAGCUAUUUUGUUAUAGUCCAAGUAACUAUAGAUCUAUUAAUAAAAGGGAUAAAAUUGCACCAUUUGUUAAACGACGAGAGUAUAUAUGUAUAACCUUUUUAACAAAUAUAUUUGCCCUUUCUCCCUAAACUAAUUAUUUUAAAAGGAAAGAAAACUACCAAUCAAUUAAAAAACUAUAAGGGUAUUGACUAAAUUUGAAAUGCUUGAGAUUAUGUGAUCUAAUUUAGAUUUAGAUUUGAUUAUUGCUAUAACUUACCAUAUAUUGGUUUAAUUGUUGCUAUAACUAUUUUCAAAGGUCAAAAAUCUUUUUAGUUUAAAUUCUGCUACUUAGAGAGCCUGCUUGGCGCUGCUGUUGGAAGGCCAAAAACACUUAUUUUAGGAAGAAAAACAGUAUGUUUAAGAAAAAUUAAGGUGUUUAGCAAAUUAGAAAAACUAUUUUCAAAUGGAAGCAAAACCAAUUUUUAAAUUGUUGGGAUGAAGCUAAAAAAAUUUGCUUCUAAAAAAAACACAAGCAGAAAAUUGUUUUUUUUUUCAAGACCAAACAUCCAUGAGAUAUUCACUAAUAUAUCAUUAAUAAAUUAGCAUAUUAUCAUUUAAAAACUUAUUUUUAUUUUUUAUAAUAUGUUUAUAUAUUAUUAUUUUAUAUCUUACAUUUUGUAUAUUAUUUAUUAUUUUAUGCUAUUUUGUAGAAUUAGAAAAAAGAAAAAAAUUAGGACAUUAUAUGAUUUUGUGGUAAAUUUUAUGUAUGUAGUGAUUUAAUUUGUAGAACAGUUUUUAAAUUUAUUUUACCUUAUAUUUUUUUAUUAUAUUUAGAUGGUUGUGUUAAUAUAACAUCAAUAUUUAAUUUAUUUUAUUUUAUUUAUGUGUAAUAUUGAUUGAAAAUUUGAAUAUGUUUAUUUAAUUUGAUAAAAAAAAUUGAUUAAAAAAAUAUAAUUAUUACAAACAUAUUUGUAUUAUACUGAAUGUCUAUUAUGUGGAGUCCUUUUAGGAUAUGGUUAGGAAUCUUAUUUGAGGACCAAGUUAAAGAUUGAAAUAUAUGUUAGUUUGUCUAACAUAAGGGGGAGAUUAGAUACAACAGAAAAGUUGUAAAUACUCAUAUUGUGUCUCUUAAGGAUAGAGUCUACGAUAUCCAUGAAGCAUGAUAGACUAAUCAAUUCUAAAUAAAAUAAUCUUUGAAAAAAGGGGAGGAUCAAAGAAUCAAAAUGAUCACAAUAAGGACACAAUGUGCACUUGAAGAGCCUACAACAUAACACUUUAUGAAACCUCAUGAGGGGUUAGCUACCUAAAAAUAAUGAAGUGAUGAGAUCUCAAUAAGUUAAUGCCGUAUUGUAAUUGAUACAAAAUGAUAUAUCGUUAAAGAUAUCUUUGAUACAACAGCGCAAUAUUGUAAAAGAUUAUGAUGAUAUAAAUUCUACGUCUAUUAAAGCAUGCUGGUGUAGAAAUAAUUAUCAAAUGAAAAAGUGGAAUGAUGCAUCUUGGUAAGCGUAAAGCUUAUUUUACUUGCAAUCUAGGCACUAGAAAAUGUCAUACGUUUAAUAUUAAAUGUUGUCACUUGACAAAAAUUGAUAUGAAAAUAUUCGUUGGGCUCAAAAUUUAAAGCAUAUACAAUUUUUUGGAGAACUUAUUUAUAAUCCUCAGGAGGACUAAAUAAAUUCAAGAUGCAUAAAGUAUAUACAAGUAUUGUUAUGCAAAUUGAUGACUAAAAUUGAAUAUCUUGAAGAGCUUUCAAAAGGCAAUAGAUUAUUUGCUUAAAAAAUUUGAAGUAAGGAACUUGUAGAAAUCUUUGAUCUAAAAGGUAUAAUUCUUAAAAGGAGAUAGAAGGAAGCAUACUUUAUCAAAACUUUCUACACACAUGAGCUCCCAAGAAUGGUGAUAUCAACAUGCAACCGUUUGUUCAAGUAAUACUAUUAGUUGAUUUAUUCACCAAGUCUCUACCAACUACAACUUUCAAGAAGAUGGUGCACAAGCUUGAAAUACGAAGAUUCAAGUCUCUGGAUUGAUGUUCUCAUUAGGAGGAGGUAAUACGUGAUAUACUCUUUUUUCCUCACAAAGUUUUGUCUCAUUGGGUUUUCUUGUACGAUUUUUAAUGAGGCAUCCAUGAUGUGUAUUAUUGCAUGUGUACUUUUUUUCCUUCAAUAGAUUUUUCUUCCACUAGGUUUUAUCUAGUAAGGUUUUAACGAAGCACAUAAUCUACUGACAUUCAAGGGGAGUAUUAUAAACAUAUUUGUAUUAUACUAAAUGUCUAUUAUGUGGAGUCCUUUUAGAAUAUGGUUAGAAAUCCUAUUUGAAGACCAUAUUAGAUUUUCCCUAUAAAUAAAUGAAUUUUCCUUCGGUGUAAAUAAGAUCCAUGAAUCCUGAAUAUAAUUUAAGAUGAAUAAGAAGUCUUUUCUCUUCUUCCUAAUUCAUUAUUCUUCUUGUUUAUAUAGUUUCAUAAUAAUAAUAGAUAUAUUGAUACUUGUAAACAGUUUUUAGCGUCAAAGUCAAACAAACACUUAAUCUAAGAAAAAGCAUCAACAGUUUAGCCUAAUGGUCCAUGAAGUGGAUUGAGCACCGUGAAGUGUCAAAUCCAAUUCCCAUCAAAAUAACACUAUGUAAUUUCUUCUCAUCUAUUUUAACCUUGGUAAAUAGAAUUACCUGGUACAUGUUUAUGGGAGGUGACAAAUACCCUUUUGCUAGAAAAUGUAAAAUAUUUUAAUAAAUCUCAAGGCAUUAAGAUUAUGUAACUUUUAUUACGAAGAAAAAUGCAACAAAAAAGACUUGAUAUGAUGAUAUACCUAGGUAAGAAAUGAAAUUAUUGUUCACUAGGUACCUUUUUUCAUCAAGUUAUUGAAUUGCCUACUAAACUUCAUGGGUUUCUAAUGGUACUAGUUGUCAGAAUGGCCUUGUCAAAUUACAAUAACCCAAGAUUUUCAUCAACUUCAGUCAUACAUGUAUUCACUUAGACAUAAGUAGUAAGUCUAUCCUAUCUACGCAAUUUUUAACAGAAUAUUUUGGUGGAAGGACCAUCAACUAUCCUAGACUUCAAUAAUGGUAAGCUCGAGUCAAAAAAAUAAAUGAGCAACAUAUUUUUAAAAAAAUAAAGAUUAAUGAACGAUAUUCUUUUUUUCUAAUUUAAAUAUUAGUAACUUAAAGUUAGGUGUGUCAAAAGAUAUAUCCAACAAGGGGUGUUUAUAUUUAGUAAUAAAGUAAAGGUCAGAAACUUUUGUCUGAAUGAUUUUAGGUCUUCUGUUAGUUUAUAUUCAAAUUAAUUAAUUAUUAUCUAUAUAAUAAUGUAAUGUAUGGAUUUCAUAUGUAAUUAAGUAUUUUGGUAUGAGUAUUUUAUAUUUCAAAAAAAAUCAUUAAAUAUUGAAUAUCCUUUUUUAUUAAAUACUGAUAUUUUCGACCUCUAAGAUAACUCUUUUUCGGGUGAUGAUGAUGCAAGACUUGUUAAGAAUUAAUCACCAAUUUAAUCAUAUAUUUAUAUAAAAGAGAACCCUAGGCCCGCCUACAUGGCUCCACCGCAAGAAAAAAAUUCCGUUUUAAUUUAUUUAUUUCCAAAACUGAUCUUCUUCUUUCAUGAAAAGAUGUGACUUUAAUGAAAAGUUGCAACUCUAAUGAAGAAUUGCGACUUUUAUCAAAAGUUGUGACUUUAAUGAAGAGUUGCGACUUUUAUCAACAAUUGUGUUUUUUGUCAAAAGUUGGGACUUUAAUGAAGAGUUGCGACUUUAUGAAAAGUUGCGACUUUUAUGAAAGGUUAUGAACAUUCCGAAGGGUUGUAACUUUUUCAAAUAGUUGUAGCCUUUCUGAUAAGACACAGUAAAGAUUUGUUCACACUACCCUUUGUUUUUUAUGAAUAGUAGGAUUUCCUCUCAUUUUAAAACGACAAAAAUUAUGACUUCUUCUACUUCCGCAAAAUUAAAUAUUCGUCCACUAUGCUGCUGUUGAGUGUCUUACUAACAACAUUGUUUUGUCUCUCAUUUUAGAACAACCAAAAAUUCUGAUCUUUUUCUUCUACUUCCACAAAAAUUAAACAUUCGUGUACUUUGCUCAUGUUGAGUGACUUACUAACACCACAAUUUUUGUAUCAAUAAGUUGGUCAAUAAAAUCGUUUCAAUCCUGAGAGGAUGUAAUUCAUUAAACCCUUCGUAUUGGAGGAGAAUAGUUUUAAGGGGACAUUAUGCAUUAAGUGGACUCGAUUUUUUCCUUUCUACUUCAUUCUAUUUUUACAUAUUCUGGCAUGUUUUUUUACAUUCAUUAAUUUAUGCUUAUGAUAAUAAUUAUUGUUUUUGAGUACAUGUUUUAAACUCUGUUGUUUAUAUUUCUGCAAAGUUAUUAUUUAUGUUUCUGCAAAGUUAUUAUCUCAUGUUAUAAUGAACAUAUAAACAUAUCGUAUAUAUAUUCAAUGUGCAGAAAAUAAUUAUUGUACUCAGUUCCAAGAAUUUAUGUUUUGAUAUUCUAUAUUAAAAUCUAUAACUUAAAAGUACUAUAUAUAAGCUUACAUAUUAUUUAUUUUUACAUAGAUAUGAAAUUUCUCACUUUUCAAUGAACGAAAUUCAUUAUACAAGCCCAAAAGUUACAAUUGCUUUCAUGUUGAAGCAUAAUUUGUUUAUUGAAUAUGCUCACAAAUUUUUGAAUUUUCUCCUAAGACAUAUAUCACAAUUGUAUAAUCUAUGCAACUUAAAUGUUUCUUUUAAUUACGAAACGCUUUUGUAUAUAUAUUCUUAUUUUCUUUUUUAUUUCCCUUUUAAUGUUGAUUAAAGAACCAAUGAUUUAUUAUUUCAUGAAUAAUUCAUUCAUUAGAAGUUCUUGAGUUUUGUGAUAAUAACAAAUAAUCAAAUUCAUGUUGGAAUAUUGUUAAUAUUUUUUUUAAAACCUAUUUUUGUAUUAUUUUUAAUUUAUGGAUAUUAGAAAAAAAAAUUAUCUUUGCAAGUUCAAUGCAAUUAUUAUUUAUGACCAGGCAAAACACGGGCAUAUUACCUAGUUAAUAUCUAAGACACGACAAAGAAAAAGAGUUGUAAAGAAAUGAAGGAAGAUCUCUAGAAUGAGUAUUCUACAUUGAAAAGUCUAGAGAUAUUCUAGAAAUGCUAGUUCUGGAAUUAAGUAGUUGGAGGAACAUUCUAGAAUGAAAUAGCAAAUAUCCUAAGCUAGAUUUGUGAUGUAUGUAAACUAAAAUAAAGUAUGUGUGGCUCAAAACAAGAGCAAUUGCUGAAGUAAACAGUGUUGCUGAAACAAUCAACAAGAAAGCAAGCAAGAAAAAAAAAGCGAGUGCAAGAAAUAUUGAGGGUAAGAAUUGUAAGAUCAAAGCGGGUUCUAAGAGUCAAGUUAUGAGCAACCGAUUAUGUCUAUCAAAAAUAUUCAACAGGACUAACUUGCAUAUCCCUUGGCUAUUCCACCACCUGCAUCCUCCCAUAAGUAAAAGUGUGUGAUAACUCUUGUCCACCAAAAACUUUAGACAGAUGACCAGAAAUGACUUCAAUUUUUUACUUCUGUUAAGGAUUCCACCUCUAAUCUUAAUCAUCUUCAUACAACUAUACUGAUUGUAAAACUUCGCCAUAAAAUAAAAUCAAAUGAAGUUAAUAAGAUAAGUCAUCACCUUAGAAAAACCUUUUUUUAAAAAUUAAAUAAAUAGGUAAAUCUGGAAAAAAUAUUGGUUCUAAAACAGUCUUUGUAUCAAUGGACUCUCAAGUUAUCUGAAUAAAUAUGUAACUUAGCAUAUAUCAAUUGCUUAGUAAACAUGAGACGUAGCUUCACUAGAAACCAAAAACUAGUAUGUACUGUGUUUCUUUCUUACAAAAAGAAGUAGUAAUUACUCAAAGUGUUUACUUCCUAGUCCGUCUCAGUGAAAUGGUCAAUUUACUAACUGGAAACUAAAAAACAUCCAUCAUGCAGCAUGCUUAUUUUAUUAUAUUUAUUUGUUUUUUCCAUUUUUCCCAACACAUAUAUGAUUUGGAUAGUAUAUUUGAUAUUUCUAAUCUGAAAGUUUAUUUUGUAAAGACUUAACACAUUAUUUACCUGAAUAUAGAUAAUAUUUUAUAAGUUCGAGUCAAACUCAUUCUUAUUUACUUUUUUGGUAGAGCACAUGUUUUCUAAAAUUAAAAAAAAAUCAUAGUAACGGCAUACCCAAAAUUUGCAAUGGGAUGCCGGAUGGUUGAAUUCGGAAGAAAAAAAAAAGAGCUGGCUAACUGCAUUGGUAACCACUUUAGGGCUAUUGUUUAAGACAUACCCAAAAUUUGCAAAGUACUUGAAAGUCCCAAACAUGUUCAGGUCAGUAUCAUGAAGUUCAAAAUGUGAAAUUCAACUGUUUUUCUCAAUUGUGUUGGACAUCUUAUUCUAGUAACGGCUUCCCUGGAUUGGUUAUUUAUAUGUGCAACAGAGGCGGACAGUCUGUUCAAAUGGGGUGCAUACUUAUGUAAUGUAUACUUGGAUAGACAAUUUAAUCCGGUUGAUACUAGUUCUCGCUGCUUACUACUCUGUAUACUUUAGUUUUUAAUAUGCCUUUCCACAAACAAACUUCUGCUUACAAGAAAGUUAUAUUUCUUUUUUUUAGCACCAUGAUCAAAUUUGAAUAUGCAGUCGUUAGAAGAAUCAUAAGACCAGAUUUCUUUUGAGUUGAUUCUCGAACUUCUCAGAUAAAGACACCACCAGCAGGCAGCAGUGACUGGUUGAUAGUUGCAGUAAGAGAAGUGUGACUAAAUUUAAAUACAUCACAGAUAGUGGUUAUAGUUAACAGCAGUCCUUAAAGUGGCUUUCAGAAAAAGAUUUUCUCAUAUAGCUCACACAGGAGGCCCAAUUAAUGAGGAAGGUAACCAUGUACGUCAAUAUUGUAGAGGCCAAAAACUUUCUGGCAACAUAAAAACCAAAAGAUACAUUUGCAUUCAUUAAUGUGACCUUCCUUUUCUCUUUUCCUUUUUCGUUAGGUGGGAAAUGGAGCUUAUUGCAUUGUUUAAGAAUAAAGUUAGGUUAGCAUUAAGAAGUCUUACCUUCAAAGAAAGGAAAGCAAAAGGAACCCCUUUCCCUCAGGCAUACAUCAACUUGGUUAGCUUAUGGCUCCCAAGAAAGGCAUCUUCAUAUCUGUAGGGAAUAGGUAAUAGAAUCACAGGACAAAUAAAUAAAAAGAUAAAUACAGAUCAAGGGCAUGAAGCUCCCCUAUAUAUACAUAACGAUUUUCAGUAACAUUUGUGAAAGACUAAACAAGAGAAAAAUGAAAUUCUUGUUGCAGCUUCCCUGCUGUUCGUGUUUCUGCUUCAUUAAGAAGAAAAAAGGGAAGUCGAAGGACAAAGAACCGAAGGAACAUUGAAAGAGCUGUUUUACAAGACCUUGAGGAUGGCAAAGAUUGAGCACAGGAUCUACGGCACCCCUUCUUUUGCUUUUCUGACAAGACAUAUAGCUCAAGCUUGAGCUUUCACUCAUCAUGAUUCUCACGCGCAAAAUGUAAUCUUAAUGGAAAAUCAUCAUGUAAUGACAAAUCUGAUUUUAAAAGCUUCAACUGAUCUUCUUGCUUGUAUCUUCAUCUCUGGGUGCCAAGCCUAUUUCCUCCAUUUGAUGUUCAACGGAAACAAACCCAGUCUCUGCUAAAAACCUAAAAGGGACAAACAUAAAUAUGCAUUAGAUCUAUGCAUUACAUUCAACUAUUGUAAUGUAAUUGAAGAAUAUAAUAGUUCAUAGGAUUAAGUGAAACUUAAAUUGACUAACAAUGCAAAAGCUAGAUGUUAUAUUCAAUAAGUAGCAGUUCCACAGACUGUAGAGUGUAGACAAAAGCCAGUCUGCCACUCAGCGCCAAUGGGAAACAGGAGGAAAAGAGAGAGGAAGCAGCUUUUGUAACAUAAAACUACCAUGAAAAGUUGAAAGCAGAUUCAUAUGCAAAACCAUAACAUAAUGUUAAACAUUAUGACCAAAUGUGUUCCAUAACUUUUUUUGAUAAAGGUAAUGUUGUAUUCUUAUCAAUCUUCAGAACAAGUUAUGUUUGUGAUGAUGGCGCACAGUUCAAAACUCAAUAGAUAAUGGCUGCUCCUACCCCUACCCUUCUCAACUUAAAUACCAAGCUCUUUUCUGUUGUAGGGUUUGCACUCAUGAUGUGCGUCUAAGACUCUAAGUCUAACUCAAACGUCACAUGUUGCACUCUUACCACUAGACAAAGCCUUGAGGGGCCAGAAUUAGUUCCAGAACUGGAUGAAGCUAAAUACAAUUUAAUCAUCAUUUCAGAUUGCUCACACUGGCAUGCAGAAAGAUUGUAAGGCUAGCACAAGCUUCACAACUAUUCUCUUUAACGAGUUGUGAGAGCAUGAAAUAAUUUGGACUCAACAAACUACAUGAUGGAAGAAUAAAAACAAAGCUACUUGAUCAGCUACUAACCCAGAAUCGUAAACUAAGAGCUGAAAGUCAAACAAGUAUUCAAUCUAUAAUUUAGAGGUUUGUCCUUUACUUUCAUUCACAACAAUCAGAAUGCUUUUUUACGCCAUAAUCAACAAGCUAAAUUCAGGUUCAAUAUCUCAACAAAGUAAAUCCAUUCUAACCAUUAAUCAAGGGAUUGAUCAUACUCAACGGACUCUGAGAUUUCAAAAUUGUUAAUAACAAUAACAGUAUUAAAGUUUCUCCAAAAGAAUAUCAAGUGAGAUUUUAUUUUUCCAGUCUUAACUUUUUUACUACUGUGCUAGGCAACAAGAAGGUCUGACAUGCAUUAACAAACAAUCUGAUGAACUGCCAACUAGCAACAAGACCAUGUCAGCCAAUUAAUAUUUAGUUCGUCUACCGUACUCUUAAAUUUUCCAGUUCACCUCUCCAGGAAAAUGGAAUACUUCUCUCCCUGCAUCUUGUAGAAGAAUAUGAUACACACGGGGAUGAAACACCUUAAGGCGGAUCAUUCAUCCACUAGUGCUAAUAAGUCUACAAAAACCCUUCUUUUUCCUAGAGAUCAACUUCCCUUUCCCAAGAAAUAAUUCAACAAAUGCAUUAACUGGCUAUUCAUAUGGUCCUGGAAUUCUAUAGUUCAUCACUAACUGCGGGUACUACGGGAAACACACCUGGAAAGUAAGGAUUCUUUACUUAUUUAUCUAAAAUACAGAAAUCAAAUUAUACAAGCUUAGUUAACAGUUUUGAAGUACAUAAUACAUUAACAUGUAAGCAAAAGAAGUAAUACAAGUUAAAUCAAAUGAUAAAAGCCGCAACAUACCUACUAAGAAGUACAAAGAGGGUUCCAGUUAUUAAAAAGAGGAACGCAACAUGGAGAGUCAAAGAGAAGUCACUUGAAGAAAAAGCCAACCCCAACAUAACAGCAAGACACACAACAAGCAUCAAAAAUGCCAUCUUUAGUGUGUUCCAAGUAGGAGCCUGAAUCCGGAAAAAAAAAAGUCAACUACUUGAAUCAACAAAUUUUAAAGUGAACGCAUAUUGUAAAGGAGGAAAUUAUACAGACGUUGACUCCUGGAGCCAAAGCUCCAACAAGAACUGCUUUUGCUGAUGAUAACUCUUCUCUGUUUGAUUCUUUCGACUCCAUAUUUGUGAUUUGUGAGUGAUGGGAUCUGAUCGAGAUUUGAGUGCUCCAAAAACAGGAAGAAAAUAAUGAGGAAGAUUUGGGAAUCGUGAGGGAAAUACCCAGUAAAUUGGAUCAGUCACACCUCGGCCCAAAUUAACUUUGGCCCAACAUAAGGGUGUCGAGGUUUCAAAACUUUGACAAAGUGAGAUUUGAGUGUUUACUUGUUUUAGCUAGAAUUAUCUUUUAAAAAUAUUAAAUACAAGUUACUACUAUAUAUACUACCAUUACUUAUACUUUUAAAAUAUUACGUAUGUUAUUGCUAAUUAAAAGUUCUCUACAUAUCUAACAUGCAUGUAUAUUUAUUACUAAAUGCACAAAAAUAAGCAGAAAGGCGAGCGAGAUUGGGAAGAGAGGCGAGCGAGAUUCAUAGUAUUCCAGAUACAUGCAAAUCACACUAGAUACGUGUUUUUAUAUGUAUCCAGAGUAAUUUACACGUAUCUGGGAUACUAGAUACAUGGGAGAGUGACGCACGAGAUACGCUACGUAUUCCAGAUAUAUAUAUAUAUAUGAAUCCACUUGGAUACAAUAUAUCUAGAACAAAUAACAUCUAAAUUUGAGUAUACGUAUCUUGAGGCACCAAAAUCCGAUAAGAUAUAUAAUGUUACAUAUUAGAAUGUAUAUAAGUAACUAGCUCCUAAACUAGUGGGAUUUAUAUAUGUUUCUUUAUUUUUUAGAUAUUUAUUUUGCAUUAGAAAGAGGCUAAACGUUUAAUAUUUGGUUAAAAUGCCUCGUAUGUGUAAGUACCAAAUGUUUCUGACAAUUUAGGUUAGCAAAAAGUUCAGUAUUUUUAAAGGCACAAGCGUGAGACUAGGCGUUUUGCUUGAUGCGAGGCCAAGCAAACCUAUAUGAAAUGAGUUAAAUUUUCAACAAACAACAACAUAUCUAAUAUAAUCCAAUAACAACCGUCUUUAUGCUCAUGUUCUACAAUUCUUUGCUAUAAACAUCCACUGCAGAUGACUUUUAAAAAACAAUACAACUUCACAAAAUGAGAAAAGUGCAUUCAUCUUCAACAUUUCUACAAGUAAAAAUAUUCCAGAUAACACUUUCUCAGUUCACAACCAAUUAAAAGCAUACAUUUCUAUAUUUCAUCCAUCUAAAUUGGUACAGAUUUCACACUUAGAAAGUUUGUGAUGCCACAAUUCAUGUAUUUAUAAGCUGAGAAUUAAGGCAAUGCAGGUGGAAAAAUGCCUGAUAGAUAUGAGUAUUCAUAAAGCUUAGUUCCCCAUAAAAUUAGGACCUUUAUAUUGAGACUCUGGUGGUAUUUGCCGUUCUCUCUCUUUGAGAUAGUUAAGAAGUGUUGGCUGCUCCUGUCUAAAGUCCAUUCCAGUGCCACAUACAUACGGGGAUGCUCUUUCGUAACCAAGAAAAUGUUUACCCAUUAUUUGUUCCUCUGCACCAUAGGCAAGAGGAGGACUUGGAUGCAACUGUGGGCUCUCCAAGUACACCAUGGGACUAGAAGCCAAGUGAUUUCCCCACUGAUCUAAGACAUCAAACCUGGUAAGGUUGGUCGCGUUCAGGUUUCCAUAGGUUGCUGGUGCAUUUGAGUGAACAGGCCACACCGGAUUGCUGACUCGCUCAAAGUUUUGACUGUUUCUGUAGUGAUACAGCCAUUCAGAUGAACUCAUUCCAAGUAAUGGUGGGUACCCCUCAACAAAGCGUGGAGCACCUGCAACAAAAUCAAGUGGUCCACGAACUGUAGAUGGACUUGAGUAUCCACCCACUGGUGAUGCACCAAGAAUACCGUCCCCUUCCUUGGUCCCAAAUGCACUCUUGUUAGGGAAAACUGAUGAGUUUCCCUUAAACCAAGAUGCAUCUUCCGGUAACAGUGGAGCUGAAGGCACUGGAGUGACAUACGGAGAAGGCGUAUCAUGAAUAGCUGCAGAAACUAGCAUGGAACGAACAUUGUGAUCUCUAGUUUCUUUCAAGGAGAGACCAGAUAAAGAUUCAGAAGCUAGUUCAUCAAUUGGGCUUAACUGCUGCCUAUUUAUAUCCCUUAGUCCCCUCUCAUUUCUUGGAGUUUCCUUCUCAAGGACCCAAGCAUUUAGAGAUGGAGGUCCAGCAGGGAAAGCCGUAGAUUGCUUCAGUGGCUUGCUGUACCUCAAGUUUGUACUUUCUGGACGGAAGCUGAAAAUAUCAUUCUGUGGAUUGCUUUGCUCAGAAAUCAACGAUGUGGCACGGCGCAAGGAUUCAUCAGAAGCCGCAGUUCCAUUGAUAACAUUGAUGGAGAAUUGAUCACAUGAAGUGCCUGAUGUAUAUAUUGGUUCUGAGUUAUGUCUAGUGAUGGGCUUGAAAAGAAUGACUUCUUCCUCAUCUGUGGUAACGGAUUGGCUGCUGAGACAAGAAUGAUCUUGACUCUCUCCGUUUUCCAUGGCCAUUCCACAAUUAUUUUGAUACGUCUCUUUUAGCGGAAGAGUCGAAACAGAUUCAGCUACUCCUGGCUUUCCCUUAUCUGCUAAUUCUGAGUCCAUGAUGUGGAAUCUUUUGCCUGUUUUAUCAUAAGAGAUCCAUUUUCUUGAGUGACUGGAUCUGUGAGCCAGUUUAGUUGCUGCACGAAAGAUACGCUGUGAACGACAUACACUCUUACUACUGAAAUUAUCAAUGCAUUCCAAAUGGCUCGUGAAGUCCAAAGACUUGUGAGCAUGGGCCAUGGGAUGAAACCCCUUCAGUUCAUAGUCUUCCCAAAGAGCAGUACUUUCUAGAGCAAGUUCAUUCUCACAAGGAUCAAGGCGGUUCAGAAGAUCAGCUAAAGCACCAAAAAAGUAAGAUAUAGCACUCUGGACCUUUUCAUCUCUUGCGUGUGCUUCUGCUCUAUCAAGUAUGUUAACUAACCAUUCUACAAACACACAGACGGUGGGUAAAAGGGGGCAAGUCUGUGUGCUAUUUCUUGUUGAAGCUUUCUCAACAAGGCGACCAGCACAAAUAAAAGUAGCAGCUACUGCCAGCUCUGUCAAUGCAGAUUGCUGCUUGUUAUCUUUCUUUGGAUCCACUCCAUCCCCACUCUCAGUCAGGCUAUGGAAGAUAAAGAUGAAAACAGAGACAAGUUGAAGAGCACGAUAAGGGCCUUUUCUCGAUAGAUCCAUUAAUUGGUAAGACUCUAGAGAAGCCUUUAAUUCAUCAACAUCCAUUACCACCAGGCAUUCCAAUUGUCGCACAGUGGACGCAAGAGUAGAUUGAAAGUCUUCCAAGCUGCAUUCCGGAAACAGCUGAAGUCUUAGAGUUUCUAACAUAAAUAUUGAGAUCAUUUAAAACUAUGUGAAGGAAGCCACUAGCUUAUCAAGAUCUAGAAGCACCAACUUAUAUCCAGAACAAAAUUAAAGUUAGUAGUAAGUAAAGGAAGAAAAAAAAUGUUCAAAGGAAAAAUUUGGGUGAAGAAGGGUUUAAUGUGAGAAAUCAAAAGGACAAGCCUAGUUGAGAAAAUUUACUCAAAAGGCAUGCAUUUAAGCAGCCUAGAGUUGAUCAAUCAAACAAAUUAGUUUCAAAUGCAGUGUUUCACUAGAAACAAGGGAUUUGAGAUGCUGCAUUACUUUUCCUGAUAUCAUUGAUUCAGAUAUAAAGAAAGCAGUUACUUAACGAGGGAGCAGCUUCAUCAGCUUGUGUUACAUGAAGCAUGAUAUCCAUGGAGAUGGAGGCAAAUAUAAAACCAAUAUUUUCACCUUGUGUUUGGCAUGGAAGUGUUUCAAAAUACCACUCAAAAUAGCAAAAAGAAACUAAAAAAAGAUUUUUUAAAAAGAGAGAAAAAUAAAAAGUCCACAAAUUGCUCAUGAAGCUAUAAAAGACGAGAAUUGAUCCCAGGUAGUCGAAAGGAGUAGCAGGGGUCAGGGGAGACCUAUUUAAUCUGCACCUGGUAUCAGCAAGCCACAAAUAGCUGAGGUUACCAGUGACAAAAUAAUCUUUCAUCAGACAAAUACAACUAGAGAACAGUACAUCAGUUUAAUCCUUAUAUAUGCUUUUAAUUUAACAAAAGCAAGCAAAUUUGUCGAUGCACUAAUGCUAACCUCGGUUUCCAGUUUUUAAUGCCUACAGUGCAAUGUUUAUACUUGGAAAUUACUGUUGAAAAUAUACAUAUCUUUAAGUUGGUUAAAUCACGCAGAGCUAGUUAACUUCCCCCAUAAAGAAAAAGCAACUACAGGGCGAAAAGGGAUUAAGUGAAAAACAAUAGAUGAUACAUGUGAACUAUCUCAAAUAACUAUUUGAAUAACUUGAAAGAGUUAAUGAUGUGUACCUGGAGUACACGAGAAAGAAACUCAUCAAUCUAACAAACAGAAGCCAUAUAUCAGCUUUUCCGGAGGUAACAGUUUCAGUGGUUUCUGGCAUAUUCUUGUUAAAGGAACCACUGGUUACGCGAUUUAUAGCAUCCAUGGAACACCAUACUGAAGGUUUUAGCAAAUCAAGGCAAGCUCCACCAGAAUAUGAAUGCAAAAUAGAUGACCUGUUCUGCAGAUUCGCAAGAAACAAUGAAAAGUGGUUUUAGUCCGUAGACUUAGAAGGGAUCACAGCAGAUGGGGAAAACACUCAUAAGGGAAAUAAUACACUUCAAGUUUCUUUUGCUCAAGAAAAGAAGAAUGAAGACUAAGAGAAAAUCUUUUGACAUCACCUCUUCAAAGAGUAGCAUAAGAUUGUUCCAGGCAUCAGGGAAUGGUUCCUUAACAGCUAAACUUCUGACGCAAUGGUAUAAGGCAAGGAAAGGGUCACCAGUGUAUGUUGCCAAUAGUGCAAGCUGCAGAUGAAAUUUAAAUACCUUAAUAAGAGCCUCAAAGCGGAUUUCUCUCAACUUUGAUGCAGGAAACGAGAAUUAACAAUCUUGUAUCUUAAAGUUUGUAAAAGACGAAAAGAAACAUAUAAAAAUACAAGGUGUCCACAAUCCAACAAAUUUAACCAUUGAAGUCUACCUGAUUAUGAGGAUUUCCACUGUCUGGCCAUAUCCUAGAUGCCUCGAAGUAGUAUGUGGCCGCUAAAGACCACUUAAAUGCAUCCGGUUUCUUACAAAGUUCACCAUAUCUGGCCAGGUCUCCCAGACAAAUUAGAAAACGGUGGCAUGCAUAUUGGCAUUGAGGCAGCUUCAUGGGUACAAGAGGAAGUGACAUGCUACCAUUCUUACAGAGUAACAAUUCCCUGGGGAGCCCACAACUUUGUCUGAGUUUUUUAGUUAACUCCUGAUAGAACUCAGUAGCUUCAGACAGAAAUGACUUGAGCCCUUCCAUAUGAUUGUCAAUCUCUCGGGCAGCACUUGAAUCACCUUCUUGUGUUUCAAUUUUCUUUUUUUCAGCAUUAGCCUGCCGAAUCCUUUUACGAAACUCAUCAAUGUGUUUAUAGUGAAGUUUCCACAGAGAGAAUUCAACUUCCUGAAGCCCCACUACUUCAUAAUUAUUUACAAUAAUAUUCUCAUAGCUGGCACGGGCUUUGUGGUACAAUUCUUGGACAUCUUUGUGCAACAGGCCUUUAGAGUAGAUUGAUGUUAACAGUUGCUUUUCUGUAUUGGCAAUCUGCCAUAUGGAUGAGAAAAGUGAGCAAAUUUUCCAUCACAAGAAGCACAAAAGGAAAGUAAAACAAUCUGAACAGAUUCAAUAAGUCACCUCAAGAAAAGUACUCAAUUUUUCCUUCUGAUCGUUAAAUGCUGCAGCUGAAUCAGCAUCCAUGACUGCUAAAAUAAACCUUAGUACCAAUCAAUAUCUCAUUGAUGACACCAACAAAAAUGUACCUACAUAAGGAUUCAACUACCUCUUUAGCAAAAGCACCAGCAACCGAAAGAAAGUAAAGGGAAUUUUGUAUGAACUACAACAAGAAAAUCUAUUAACUUCCGAUGUUCUAGCAUUGAUCUUAGGAUGCUAACCUCUCCUUUAGGCUUUAACUAGUUCCACAGCAACAUCACAUACAUUUUGUAACUUGUGGAAUUUUGAAAAGUUUAUUCAUAGGUCAGUCAACUAAACUAUUAUUCAACACCCAUAAAUAUCAAGGACAUUUAAAAGAAAGCAAAAAGGGUCAAUAUCCAACUUGAUAGCCUUGAAUUAGUGAAUACUAGAUCAUCACAAAGGGAAUUUCUUGCACAACCUCAGUUCAUCAAACCUAAAACAUAUCUUUUCUACUGAAUUUUUUACCACAAAAAAUACAUGUUAUAUAUCCAUUUAACUUGACAAUAAAAAUGAUCUCUAAAAGCCAGUAGCCAUAUCUCCACAAAUUCAUUACAAAAAAAAAACAAAAACUAUUUAAGAUGUCUUCCCUUGUGCCCUAUAAAAUUCCAAAAAUGACCAGUUUGAAGCACAAAGUCAACCAAAACCUAAAACUGAUAAAGACUUUCAGAUGACUUUCUGACUCCAUACCUUAAGCAACACAAAGGAAUAGAAAACUGAUAAGAAAGAAAUUAAUAGUGAUCAUUUCAUUGAUCACCACCAUAAAUGAAUACAACUAAGCUAGAAAAUGAUGCAUUCAAUUGUCAGAUACAUCCAUACCAGUUCUCUACAUAAUUUAUCUUCUUUCAAGCAUAAAUACAAUCUCUAGAACAAAAAAAAAUUGAUUUUUAAAAUCUUGAAAGAGAAAAAAGGAAAUUGGGGAUAGAAUGAUGAACAGAAAGUAGCUAUAGUAACUUGAAAUUAGACCUAUAAAAAAGAAGAAUCUAGACAAAUAGUCAAGCAAACAAGAAUCAAACAAAGGCAUAAAUAAAGCUACUACUUUUGAUAGAAAAAGUCAAAAACAUGAAAGGAAGAAAACUACAAUACCUGAAGAAUUGAAGAAAGAAACUGAAACUUGAAAUUCACAGAUGCAGCAAAUCGAUUAAGUGGGUAAGAACAAAGAAGUACUUUUGAUGAGCAUAGAGAGAGGGAGAUGGGGGAGAGGGAGGGAACAGUAGGACAGGGGAAGAAAGAAGUAAAACAACAGAAUUUUUGGCCAACUGUUGUUGUAUUAGUUGUGUGAAAUAGACAAAACAAAAAGGUGGCUGUGUAUUAAUGAGUAGAGUGAAAUGAAUAAAUUGCCCUUUGUCCUCUUAUACUAGAUGUUUCUGUUUUGUUCUGUUUUUUCUUAAUAAGAGAAAUGACGUUUUUUUAAUUUACUUGUUAUCAUUAUAAUUAUUAUAGCAUAUAAAUUUUUAAAAUUUUUUGUUUUUCUCUUUUAAGUCAUUAAUUUAUCUGAUUUUUUAUUAAUAUACUUGACUUUCCUUUUAACAUAGUAGUAAAUGUAUUUAACUUUUUCUAUAACGCUCUAAUUAUUCGGUCAUUAAUGUAUUUGAUCCUUUUCUUAAAUUUCAACGCUUAUAUUAUAUAUCUGUUUAAGAGAUUUUUGCAAUUAUAAAUUUUUAAGAGAUAUAUUAUAAUUUUACCUUAAAAAGUAUGUGAAAUUUGUAAUUUAUCCCUUUUCUUCUUCUAAUAAUAAUUAUCUUAUUUGAAUAUUUUUUAUCAAAAUUUUAACUUAAAGAUUUCUCUCAAAUUAAUAGUUCAGUUGAUUGAUUACUUAAAUAUUUACCUUAAUAAUAAUAGUUCAAUUUCAUAUCUUCUGAUUCAUCAAACUCUCAAUUAAAAUUAAAAAUAAAAAAGAUUUUAUAAUUUUCAAUCAACUUUAUUAAUUAUCAUAUUAGGUAUCAGAUUACACUAUUAAACAUACAUUUAAACCAAUUUAUAUAUACAUCAAUUAUUCAAUCUAUAAUCACAUAUUUUAUUUUUGAGAUUUGAAUGUAAAUAGAAUCAAAAAUGAUUCUAACAUGAAGUGAAUUAAAAUUAAUUGGAGUUCCAAUAUGAAUAUCCAGUUGCCAAUAAAAAGAAAAGACGGAAUCAUUUUCAUUACUCAUUUUCAAUCUGUUUUUAGUUUUCUGACCAAGUAACUCCAUAAUGUCCCUUAUAAUCCAAGCUAAAAUCCAUUAAACUAAGUUAGAUUCACAACUUUUCUAAUAUAGCAUCCCAGUUUAUGAAUUUUUCAGUGAUUCCCUGAAUUUAUUAAUAUUAGUUGAGUUGCAUAGACAAGUCAUGAAGCUACUUGUCCUUUUUCAAAUCAUUAAUUACUAGAAGAAGUUUUAUAAAAUAUAAACUGUAUGUUUAAGCUGGUGGGUUGGUAGGAUGUUGUCUUUAACUUUUUUUAUAGAGCUAAAAUAAUUUUUAUUUAUCAUGGAUAAAGAAGCUUGCUUGCUUUGUAACCCUCUCACUUAUCAAUAUAACAUCUUUGGUUAACUAGAAAAAACCUUCAUGGCUCUAGAUAUUUUUAUACAUUAAAAUUACUAACAUAAAUUUUGGCAAAAAGCCAAUGUAAUUUUGACAGCAGAAGCAACCAACUCAUAAGAAUAUAUAAUUUGAAGAAAUACAUAUAGUGAAAAGAUAAUGGUCUAUAUAGUUGGUGUUAGGUUCAUGUCUUGGUCCACAUUUGGAUAUAUAAAUAAAUAGAUAACAUUAAUUUUUGUGCAGGAUAAAGUGUGGGCUCGCCAGGUGGAGUCAUCAUAUUAGACCCUCUACCCCACUUAGACAUUUUGAUUUGGGCUUAAUUCAAUCAUGCUCCUAUAAAUAUAUUUGGCCUAAAAAAGGGAAAAACAGUUAACUAAUCUUUACCAUGUGCAUUGUUCUAUUAUUAGUCUAAAGAUAAUACUUUGUAUGUGAGUAGUUAUGAUACUCUAUCAACACGAGUAUUGAGUCUUGUGGGACAGUGCUGAUAAUAUUUUACUUUUAAUUAAAGAUUUUGGAUUUGAUUUUUUGGUGUGAAUAAUUUUUUAUUGAAAGUGUACUAAUCUCAAAAUAUAUUUAGUUAUGUAUAAUUUAAAUUUAACUAGACUUUAAUAUAAAUAUCGAAUACGUACAAAAAUCUUUUUUUAAUGAUAUUCUAAUAUAGUAUAUGGCGGGUUGUGGGGACUUGAGAUGUUACAACUUGAUGAGGACCUUUAUGUUCAAGAACAUUAAAGAAAGAACAAAAAAGGGACAUUGAGCAUCCUAAAUGUCAAAGAGACUUGACACAUCUUUCAUUUGAUUUACAUGAUUAACCAUAGUCCCCUUGUCUAAUCAAAAGGUUAGAAUUCUAGAAGAUGGUGCAUUAUAAAAUAAAACAUAAUUUUGGUUCUUUUGUGACAAUAUGUUUUAGAAUAUUAUAAAUAUCUAUUAUUUUAAUUUAUAUCUGAAUUCUUUCUAAUCUAAUUACCAAUUAUCCUUAGAAAAUGUCAAGAAAGACUAAGAAUUGCAUGUCUAACUCUUUUUAUUACUCUAAGAUCGACAAAAUGUCAAAACGGCUACAUGCACUUUAUUUUUCAUUAGAAUGAUUUAAUUUUGCUGGUAGUUCAUAAUUAAAAUUGUUGAUGUCUAUCCUUUAGGAUGGUCCAAUUAUUUAGGUUUGGAAUUUCCAUGUUAGUAGUUUCAAGUUCCAAAAUUUUUUGUCAACGAAGGUAAAAGAUUACUUUAUGGGUCGAACACUCAGUGCGGGUAAUUAGUAGUAGUAUUGCUACUUAGGUCUCAUUUGUUUGCACUUAAUUGAAUUAUGAAUUUUAAUCAUUCAGAUUUAACCCAUUAACUGUGUUUGGUUUUUGGAUUUAAAUCAGAAUCAAUCAGAUUCAGCCUAUUAAGUUCAUUUUUUUUUUUUUAAAAAAAACUCUUAAUGGGUCUGAAGAGGUCUAAACUAUGUUUGGAUCAUUGUUAUCCAUUGUAUUGUAUUGUAUCAUUACUAUACCUACAAUGUUUGUUGUAUUGUAUUAUAAAACGAUGGGUAAUAAUGAUUCAAACAAAAUGUUAACAACAUUCAAACUUAUUUGAUAAGUUAUCAAAUAAUAAAUUCCAAUUCUCUGCUUUGGACUUGCCUUUUUAUCUCAUAACUAAAAACUCUCUCUCUUUUCUCAGUCAAGCACCAUUUUUUCCCUCUUGAAUUGGUAAGUUGUGUUAAAAACCUGAUUGCAAUAAUAUUUUUGGUGUUAUUGUUUAUCAAGGUUUUUGAAUGAAAAAAUAGUACUCAAAAUCGUUGAUUAUUAAAACUUUUGAAUUUUUUUUAAUCAAAAGUGGUAUAUUUUAUUAAAAUGAAGAUUUAUAAUAUUUUAUUAAUAUAAUGUUCAAUUUCACUUGCACAUUCAAAUAUUGAAAACAAACAACAUUAAUUAUUUAGUAUCAGAUUUAGAGAUAACAUUUUAAUAUUCUGAUGUGUAUUCAGAUCAAAACACCUAAAUCUUAAUAUAUAUCUUAAUAUUCAGAUGUGUAUUCUGAUUCAGGCCUCUUAAUUUUAAUAGAAACAAAUGAAAUCUUACCAGAAGCUAAUAAGAACUUAGAACUAUUGAAUUCUUAUACAUGGGCUUUUCAGAUCAUGGGCCUGUUGACAAGUCCAAAUUCAUUCUAGGGCUUGAGUUUACAUUUUGUAUUUUUUUUCCAAGCCCAAUUUGACAAAUUUUUAUGAGACAUGAUCAAAUGGUGCAUCUCAAACGUAUAAUAAAUACAGUAGUUAUCGUUUGAUUUAUUGGUGCUCUUUAGCAAACAAUUGAUUUAUUUGUGUUCCUUAGCAAACAGUUUGAUUUAUUUGUGUUCCUCAGCAAACUGUUUGCCAGUGUCGCUUACCUCUCUCGCUUUAUACAAUAUAACUGUAUAAAUUGUGUUUCUGUUUGUAUAAAGCGAGAGAAAAUUGUAUAUACACAUGCAAAUACAUAUAUCUCCGUCCUAUAUACUUAUAAUUAUGCAACACAAAUAUUUCCCUGCCCAAGUCUUUUUUGUCGUUCUCUCUUUCUCGUUUUAUACAAUUCGAUUAUAAUUUCUCUGUAUCUCUUUUAUACAAUUCGUUUUAAUUGUAUAUUUCCUACACAAGUCUCUAUUGUAUUACUCUCUUUCUCUUUUUAUACAUAUUCAAAUUAUAUAUAUGUAUAGCGAAAUGGGCAUAACUUUCAGUUGUAUAUGUAUAUCGAAUUAUACAUUUAUAUAUUUGCUACGGAGUGUAAUUAUGCAAACUUUACUAUAAUAUAUAAAUUUAAAUUUUAUGUUUGCUAUAUGUGAAAGUUGUCCUAUACUUUUUGGGUUACAGCAUGAAACAUUAUAUUAUCUCCAGGUCUGGACUUAACUUGUUUGUUGUCCAUGUAUAAUGGAUUUGCUAGGGAGAAGGAAAUAAAUAAACUAAAUUAUGGCGUGUUCGAUACGAAAGAAAUGUUUUGACUUUUUCAUUUUUGAUUUGGUUAAAAAUUUUAAGAGUACUUACUCCAAUAUCAUAGACAUAUUUGGAAAAUAAAUUUCACAAUGUACAUUUCACUUUAAUGAUGUCCCUCACACUAUUACACCUCAUCUUCACUCCUACCGUGUAGCACUCACCUCUACUUUUCAUACUAUUUUUCAAAAUUAUAUAUAAAUAAUUUUAGAUAAUUCCUUCGCAUCAAGCAUAUCCUAUCAAAAAUUUUAAUUCCCCAUUUGAAUCAGCAACAUACAUAGUGAAAUUCCAUUCAGUAGAAUCUAUAAAUAGUAGAUUAAUAUGUACACAAAUCUUAUCAUUAUCUUAUUAAGAUAAAAAUAUUGUUUCCGAAAAAACCUCGGUUCUCAAUUUGUAUUUUUGAUCUGGAUUAUACAAUAAUGCACUGUACACCCAUAUAAUUCAUUUUUUUUUCAACAACUACUCUCAUCUGUCUGUUUCUGCUUUUUGUUUUUGUUUUCUGACAACUAUAUACAUCUAGUAAAGUUGACUCUCCAGAAGUGUGAUUGUCACUUGUUAUUGUCCACUAGAUUCAUUUGAUUCACGUUAUCGAAUACAUAAAUUGACUUAUUUACAAACGUAAAUUUGGUAACAAAUAAUCUUAUUUUUCAUAUCGACUCUGUAUUGUCUACAGCCUUCUCAGUUCUUACUAUGAGUUUCAUUCUUUUUCUAGAUUUAUGUACAUUAAAGUAUUUAGUUAAUAGGUCGAUUUAAUACUCCCUCCGGUCCUAACUUUAAUAUUUAACCAAAAAUAAGUAUAUUUUACAUAAUUAAGAAGGUAGGAAUUUAUUUAUUGAGUUUCUACCUAACAAAAAAAAAAUCAAAUUAAUUUUGUUCUAAGCUAAUUUUGUGUGAGAAAACUAUUGAUGCAUUAAAUCAUAGACGAAUGCUGCUAUAAGAAACAAAACUUUUUUUUUUGGUUAGAUAAUUUUUUUUAUGUAUUUUUCAUCAAAUCUACUCAAUUAAAAAUUAUACAGUGAAAACAAAUUCUUAAUGAAAUAGUGAAAAGCUUUCUAUUUUCUAUGUUACAACACUACUUUUUUUUUUCAUUAAUUCAAUAAAAAAAAUUAUUGAAUUAAAAAUCAAUCAAAAUAUUUGUUGAAUAAGUGACUGAUCAUUAUUUUUGAGUGGAAACUUUCAAGAGGGAAAUAAUGUUCUUUCUAAUAGUAGAGAAGUACGUGCACAACAGCUUUGAAUAAUGUGUUUCAAAAUUUUGGUUUUGUCGACUUUUUAGUUUUUAAUAAAAAAUCACUUCAAAUUCUGCACGGCUUUGAAUUCAGAAUUCAGACUGAAGUUGUCAAAUUUUUGAUAAUUAUUAAAACGAAAAAAAUAUCUAUUUCUAAAAGGGAAAAAUAAUA